AUUUCAAAAUCACUUCAGUAUUGAGGUUCCGUAUAACCAGUUUACCAAACUUGAUAAGGGAAAAAUUGUCUAGUCACACUUGCAGGCAUAACCUGACGCAAUUGAAGGAGCUAAGACCGCUCCAAAAUAAGGUAAACAUAAAUAACUAGCCUUCCCUAAGAGUUUCACAUCAGUUCGAGCCUUUCAGAGGACUCAAAGACUUCAAACCUGCUAGACACAUCUUAGCACCAAAUUGACAUAUACCAAAAUGAAGGUCAUAACACCAAUUUAUUCCACAUGUCCAAAAUUCCUCCCCUCACAUGCUAUAUGGAAGGACAAUGGCUCGCAUUGGAACAUUUGGAUAUAAGUCCUAGUCUUACUCAUACAUGGGCCACGAAAAGAGAGGAGAGGCGCGGUGAAAACCUUCACUACUACGAUAUGAAAGGAGGAUAACUUUACCUUUGCUUGAUAUUCAAAUGGCAAACAUGCUUGACCACCCUAGGCCUAGGUUAUAAUAGAAUUUAGUGGUAACCAAGGAAUGUUGAACCAGCCCGUACCGGCCGGUUCAGCCCGCACCGAACCGGUCCGGUCGUUGACCGGUCCGGCUCGGCAUUAAAAAACAGUACCGGCCCGUACCGGCUAGGCCAAAUUUUUUUGGACUUUUGGAUGCGUGAACCAGGCCGAACCAGUGGUACCAGUUCGGUACCGGUUCGAGCCAGUCCGAUGGCUGGCCGGUACGCCUACCGGUACCGGUUCAGCGAUUCUUGGUAGUAACAAGUUCAAUGUGACUCAAAAAACCAUAUAUAACAAAACUAGACGGCAAUAAUAAGUUAAUAACUAUUAAUAAGAUGCUGAAAUUAUGAAACAUGAAAACUUGAGAAGCAAGUAUUGGUGUAUCUGUCAAUCCACUGGUGGCAAGAAGAGUCCAAUAAUCAUGAAUUAGGCUCUACCCAUCAUUUUCUCUCACAUCCAUGAGAGUCAGCAUGUCAUCUGCCACAUAUAUUUUGAAAAUUACACAACUAAUUUCUAUAACAUUACUAACAUGUAAGUUUGUCAAAUGAUUAAAAGUUUCUCAAGAUAAUUGAAGUCUAAAAUCUCAGCUGGCAUGGAUGAUCUGAAACGACAUGAAUGUUGAUACUCUCAAUUAAAUCUGAUAGAUUGGAGUCCAAUUUGGCCAGUUCAGACUGUUCUUCCAACCUAAGCUAACACAUAAGGUUAAAAACCUCAUUUUAAGGUUUCAUCCUGAUUUCAUUUAGUCGAUCGCACUCUAAGUAUUAAUUCAAGCCUUAAGGAAGCUUUUUUAUAUGAUUAAAUUCGAACUUUUGAUUUUUGAGUGGAUAAAAAGCACAUAAGCAUUAUGUUAUGAAAAUUUAAGAGAAAUUUUAAUUUCUUAAAAAAUGUAAAUUAUAUACAUGUUUUAAUUUUAUAUCAACUAACCAAGACAGUUGGAAGGGUUUUAGGUGACAAUUCAUUGUGCCAACAUGGACCAACAUACACCAUGCCAGGCUAGUGUUAACACUAGGCACAGGGUGCGAAAUUGUGAAUGCUUUUACAGUUCAUACCAAGCAAAGUUGAUGGAACUUUAACUGUACUAUACAAGUGUCAAGCAAAAGCACAAGUUGUAAAAGUUUAUUAUAGUGAAGGACAAUAAAAUCAUGAGAGCAGAAAUACCACUAGUCACAAGAACAUAACAAUUGCCAGUAUAGUUAAUAUAUUGGAAAGUAUUUAGUAGGAAAUAGCUGCUUUCUUUUUAGGUGGUAUAAAGGACAAACAUACCUUCCAUACAGAGAGAACAAAGAAAAACAAUGGAUCAACAAAUAUUGCGAUCAAGCAGGAGAUAACAAAGAACUUGUUCCACUGCUGAACAACCUUCGUAUGCGGAUUCAUGAUUGGAAGAUAUGAACUUAGACAUGAAAUUGAUUUCUUUGCCCAUCCAUCAGCUUCCCCAUAAAGAAUGUUACGGAGCUGCAUACAUUGACAAAAAAAACAAAAAUGUACUUCAAAGAAAGUAUAUGACAAAUGCAUACAACACUUUGUUAAUGUGAUUAUAUAAAGCCUAUAGACAGCAUGACUAGGAAUUUAUUGAAUAAUUGAAUUUAAAACAAUUAUAUGAUUUCCAAAGGUGCAAGCAUAUCUACAAAAUAAUAAUAUAUAUAUAUAUAUAUAUAUAUAUAUAUAUAAGUAUAUGUUUAACAUUCAAUGUAAAAUUAUCUAUUGAAAGCCAAUGGUUCCACAAAAUAAUGAUUACAAUAGUAAAUCUGCAUUAAGCUACAACAUUUGAAAAUUAACCCGACAAAUGACAAAUAUGCCACAAGCAUAGUUAGCAGAACUGAACUAAACAUUGAUCCUACCAAGGAGUUGAGUCAUUUGGUCACUGGUCACAUAGUGGAUCAACCUCAGCUCGCAGACAUUAAAAAAUUUGAAUAAUUAAAAUUAGUUACAAUACUUAGAUAUAAUAUGAGAGCAGGCCUUGGAGCAAUGGUAAGAGUUCUAUACUAUGACUUCGGUGUCACUAGUUUGAAACAUAGAAAUAGCCUCUCCACACGCAAGGGUAAGGCUAUGUACAUCUGACCCUCCCCAAACUCCAUAGUGGUAGGAGGCUAGGAGCCUUGUGCACUAGGAAACCUUUUUUCUUAGAUAUUAUGUGAGAUAUAUACAUAAAAAGUAUUUGAUAUUUUUUUAUUUUAAAUACUAAAAAUUUGAAACCAUCAAAAAGAUUGGAAUGAUUACAUUUAAUUCUUUUUUGAUCAAAAGAUAAAAAAAAAUUGAUAAUUGACCAAAGGAACACAAUGUACCGACACAUUCUAUAGUUCACAAGGUCCAGCAUGUUAUUUAGCUUGUAUUGACAGAUACAUAAGUUUAUUAUAAGUUAUAUCAUGAUAUAAAACAAACUCAUUCUGUGUCUCGUUGGUUAUGAGAGUAGUUACAUUAAUAAGUAAUCAAGGCUUCAAACCUCAUGCCGAAAAAGGGUUCAAACGUCCCCUCCCAACAUAUACUGUGAGAUUUUCUGUGGAAAAAAAUGGAGUACCCUGGUUACUUGAAUCCAAUAGAUCAAGCCAGUUGAGCAAAACCUGAGCAGAUCUAGCAGGUUUCAGUGGUUCAAACGCAGGUCAGUUACAGAACCGAACUGGACCCUAGGCCCGGAUCGCUGGAUUUCUGGCCCAACUACUAGAUCUAGUCUAUUUAUGAUAAUUAUGGCCUUAAGUCCUACAAAUUGCAUCACUGUCUAGUGUCUAUCAUAAUAACAUGUACUUGUAUCAUUCUCACAUUUCCUUAAAAUGCAACAUUGUUGUGUUAUCUCAGUUCCACAAAUCACUUCCUCCCACAGGCAGUUUGAGUAGUAAUUUUCACACUCUCAAUUUUUGAAAAUUGAAACAUUGAUUUGCUGCCAACAGAAAUGUUGUUGCAUACAACCAACAGUCUUCAAAAAGUCACCAAUGUUGCUAGUCAUAACAGUUGAUGAAGACAAUUGGAUGCUAUAAACAAAAGAACAAGAUUAGCCUUGAUUUCUCCAUUGCCAAACAGUCCACAGCUUUCACUAGAUUGGUUCCUUGGUUUGUUUUAUUCUUCCUUUCCUAUUUUUGGCUUUUAGACAAUGUCAGUUAUGGUGCUUACUUCAGGAGCAACCAUAAUGUCCCAUAUUUAUUGAAUUGCUUAAAACAAUUUCCGCUCUACUGAAACUAAAUGACUUGAUAUGGCAUGUUUCCUUUAUUCAAAAGAAACCAAAAGAAAAACUAAGUUUGAGCUAUUAUGCUUGAUAUACAUAGUUGUCCUAUUCCUUGCGAGCUUAAGGCAGUCAAAUGGUUAGCUAAGAGCCUAAGACGGUAUCAAAGCCGUGGUCAUGGAUUAAAAUCCCGUCCAUGAGGAUUGUUCAUUCAAUCUAGCUGCCAUCUCUACUUGUCUCAUGUCUCGAUUCAUUUACAUCUCCAUGUGCAUAAUCUCGACUCCACUUGAAUGGGGACUUUGGCCUGAUAUAAAUUGUUGUCCCAUUCCCUAACAUGGUUUUAACUCUUGUAUCGUGUCAUAUACCAUACCUUACCAGUAUGGUACGGGUCAGUAUAGUAUGGCCCCAUACCAAAACAUGGUAAAGUGCUGGAGUUGCUACAAUACCAAUACCAUGUCAAUGUAGAUGUAUGCCAAGCCCUAAUACCAUACCAAUAUGAUACCAAGUCAAUACAAUAUGCCCCAUACCGGCCUGUAUGGGUCAUUACUUAAAACCUUGCUUAACAGCUUAAGCUUUUAGAGUCAAGUGCUUAGUUAAUGAGCUUCAACUACAUUGUACUAGGAUGCAGUAAAUAAAGCAUCCUCAUGUAAUCCUCGAACCAAUAUCAUCUAACUUCAAGUUGAUGUAGUAUUUGUAGUGGACAUUGUUGAAGUAAGAGGUAUGGAAUUUUGCUUUAAGGAGCUUCAAAAUCUUUAACCACAAAGGCAUCAUUACUUAGACUUUGUGAAGCCUCUACAUAUGGAUAUGUUCCCACCACGGUAAGGUUCGCCGUACCAAUAUCGGAUCCCGUAUCGGUGCCACACUGGUAUAGUGUCAGUACGGUACGGAAUUUUUUUGGCAUACCGAGAGUCGGUACGCCACCCGUACCGGUAUGGAUACCGAACCGGUACAGUACGGUACACCCGGUACCGUCAGGUAUGGUACGGCAUACCAUGCACCACACCAAUAUGCCUAAAAUUUUAUCAUAAUCAACAUAACUUUCUAGUAUUUUAAAACCAACAUGCAUAUUAAGGAAACUCUCUACGUAAGCAACCGAAUCAUAAAUUUCAUGGAGCUAGAGCUACCUGUUGAAUUUUGAAUUAUUUUAAUGCAUAUUAAAAAUUUUGUCUCUCUGUGAAGAUGAUCUCUCAGGUUCCUUGCAAACAAAACUCAUCUUAGGGACAAGGCAAAUAUUAAUUCCAAAGAUGAAAGGCUGUGUGAUAACCACUAAUGGACUUUAUUGAUUAUUUUGCCAUCUUUCAAUAACAUUGUGAAGGUAAUUGAACUCGUCUUUUGUAAGCAAGUUGUCUCCUUGCAUCUACAAUUGAUGGGAUCAGUGGCUAUCGNNNNNNNNNNNNNNNNNNNNNNNNNNNNNNNNNNNNNNNNNNNNNNNNNNNNNNNNNNNNNNNNNNNNNNNNNNNNNNNNNNNNNNNNNNNNNNNNNNNNNNNNNNNNNNNNNNNNNNNNNNNNNNNNNNNNNNNNNNNNNNNNNNNNNNNNNNNNNNNNNNNNNNNNNNNNNNNNNNNNNNNNNNNNNNNNNNNNNNNNNNNNNNNNNNNNNNNNNNNNNNNNNNNNNNNNNNNNNNNNNNNNNNNNNNNNNNNNNNNNNNNNNNNNNNNNNNNNNNNNNNNNNNNNNNNNNNNNNNNNNNNNNNNNNNNNNNNNNNNNNNNNNNNNNNNNNNNNNNNNNNNNNNNNNNNNNNNNNNNNNNNNNNNNNNNNNNNNNNNNNNNNNNNNNNNNNNNNNNNNNNNNNNNNNNNNNNNNNNNNNNNNNNNNNNNNNNNNNNNNNNNNNNNNNNNNNNNNNNNNNNNNNNNNNNNNNNNNNNNNNNNNNNNNNNNNNNNNNNNNNNNNNNNNNNNNNNNNNNNNNNNNNNNNNNNNNNNNNNNNNNNNNNNNNNNNNNNNNNNNNNNNNNNNNNNNNNNNNNNNNNNNNNNNNNNNNNNNNNNNNNNNNNNNNNNNNNNNNNNNNNNNNNNNNNNNNNNNNNNNNNNNNNNNNNNNNNNNNNNNNNNNNNNNNNNNNNNNNNNNNNNNNNNNNNNNNNNNNNNNNNNNNNNNNNNNNNNNNNNNNNNNNNNNNNNNNNNNNNNNNNNNNNNNNNNNNNNNNNNNNNNNNNNNNNNNNNNNNNNNNNNNNNNNNNNNNNNNNNNNNNNNNNNNNNNNNNNNNNNNNNNNNNNNNNNNNNNNNNNNNNNNNNNNNNNNNNNNNNNNNNNNNNNNNNNNNNNNNNNNNNNNNNNNNNNNNNNNNNNNNNNNNNNNNNNNNNNNNNNNNNNNNNNNNNNNNNNNNNNNNNNNNNNNNNNNNNNNNNNNNNNNNNNNNNNNNNNNNNNNNNNNNNNNNNNNNNNNNNNNNGAUACAUUUAAAUUUGUUCAUACAACUGUAAUAACUUUAUAAUUAAAAAUAUAAUUACACUUUGCUUUAAAUGUGCAAAUAAUAUUUAUAGUUUUAUAUAAGAAUAUAAGGGCACUUCGCUUCAAAUGUCCAAAAAACACUUAAGUAUACUUCAUUUAAAGUGUCCAGCACUUAAACUAAGUCACCUACAUGAUACUCUUAAAAAAUGCAAAUCAUUCGAUACUUUUUGCUGACAUUAGCAGAACACUUCAAACUGGAGUGUCCGACCAUGUUGUGUUGGGUCAUGCCAUGUCUGUGUCUAGAAGCGUCGAUACUCCCAUACAUCUUAGGAAUGGAGUGUCCAGAUAAUAUAGAUUACAACACUCUUCGUACAUGGGUGCAGGCAAAAACCUAAAACUCGUGUUGACUCGAAACCCUACUCUAGUUCUUUGGAGAUAUGAUUUUAGAAGGUUAACCAGUUAGACCCUUACUAACAUUUACUGAUAACAUCAUUUCCAUACGUAUGCCACACUUGUGGUAAAACCAAACUGUCAGCCUACUGCGAUGAACUUGUCGUGGCAAACGUUAGUCUCCAACACAAUUUUUCUUUAAAUUUGCCAAUCCAUCAACCAUCUUAUAAAAAAAGAGUAAAAAAGGUUGGUCUUGUAGAGGCUUAAUUCGAUGGAUCAAAUUAACAUAAAAGAAAAUAAUCGUUUGAAGAUUUGAAACCUUAAACAUCAAAGUUGAUAGACCAGGAAGCAUUAUCCACCAACCAAUAGUCACAUACAAUUUUGUAGAAUUUGUGGGAGCACUGGGAGGGCUUACAUCAGGUUAAUUACCAUCAUAUUAAUGGUGUCAAAUAGUUUCUUGAAACAUCCUUAAUUUUUGAAGUGUGCUCAAUAACCUAUCCUAUCUUGCUGGGAAGGCCCUGAUGGUUUUAGUUGCUGUUCUUGAAAAGUUUUAUGAAAGUUGCAUUUAUUUAAAUGAAACCAUAUUUCCACACAAAUUCCAACUCAAACCAUUGUGCAUGUUUUUUAUUUGUUGAAUUAAGUUAUUGAUACUUAUUUUAUAAAAUUCUUUAUUGAUUCUAAAAUAGCACUUGAUGUGAUUCACACUUGUUGUUAGCAAUAAUCCUUCACAGAUAGUUCUUAUAAUGGGAGCUUAACUUGAAUAUUAGUUAUCAUUCCAUUUAUAACAGAUAUAAAAAUUACAGCUUAUCACAACUCCUGCAUUUAGGCCAUGGUAAUGGAAAACCUACAUGCUAACAAAAGAAAAACUAAUUUAUGUUGCUGGUAGUUAUGUUCUUCAAAAACUCAUCAAUGUUCUGUCUAAAAUAGCUACCAUUCUUCCAUAGCAUGUAAAAGAUACCUUUUAAUCUCUAUAACAUACUCCAUUCAAGUGCAUAUAUAUACAACUUCCUAUUUUCAUUGAGCAUUCUCUUUCAUAUUUCAGAUAAGAAGGCAACAUCCAUCAGCAAGCUUCAUCAUGCAAAAAAGUUAAUAUGAGGUAGUUCUUGUCAUCUUCAUUUAAAACAUACUGCCAAUUACGAUUUAUAUUGUUUUCUUAGAAAGUUGGCAUUUGAAAUAAAUGUUUAACAAGUAGUUACAUGGAGCCAAGUUAUUGUAGGUUUUUGUCGCUUAUAUUUGUCUCUUUUUUGGGCACAGGUACAUAUAAAAACUCAAGUUGGCAGUAUAGACAUGCCCUGACUCUUGAGGCAUUAUUAUAAUACAGAAACGGCAUAUGUGUGUGUAUAUAUAUGUAUGUGUGUACAUGUACAUAUAAAUGCAUAUAUCUAUAUCUGUAUGUAUGUACAUCUACAUGCAUAUAUCUUAGUAAUACAUACUAGCAAUGUAAAUGUUGAGUAUUAUUCAAGUACCAUAAUGACUUCACGAGAUCAGUGAAACAAAAAACAACUAAAAAGAAGCUAAAACAAAUGUUGAUAAAGGGGAAAAACCACCUUACUAUCAAGAGAAACCGAGUUUUUAUAAUAACUCCUUUUGGUUUUAUAAGCUGCAGGACAAUCAGUGCAGUCAGGGUCAUUGCAUAACCCAAGAGGCCCCGACUUCAACAAGUGCUCAUUUUUUGUAUGAUGGUUAUUGUCUGACCAGCCAUUUUGACCCAUUACUGCUGGCAUGACUGCAUGUAUUUUAGCGUGUUGCUUGCCAUGUUUAAGCCAAGGAACCUCAUCUACCUUCUGCUUGCCACAUAAAGGACCACUUGUAGGUGCAAAUUGUGUCGUCCUUUGGAUGCGCAAAGGACCAGUAUGAGAUAUAAAAGUAUCUUCACUUUCAUAGGACACAUUUGGGGGCAUGGACAUUGAUGCACUCCUGGCAGUGAUUUUCUGUAGCUCGAUAUCUUUUGAUAGCAUGGGGAUAUGAUCUUUGUCUUGGUCAGCCAUUUAUACAAGAUGUAGACCUGCAACAGAGAGCAUAUAAAUAAUGCAUCCAAUAAACAAGAGUAGGUUAAAAUCUUAUAUGUAAAAUUGUUAUAUCUCACGUUGAAGCUUUAAGAGCAUGUCAUUCCUUUAUUGCAACUUAGUUUAUGAGCUUUGGCCUUGUUUACUGAGCCUUAUUUGUAAGAGGUGCCUAGAUGAUCAACCCCACUUAGAGGUACUUUCAUCUUUGAUUCAGUUUAUGGCGUAUAAUCUAAAUAUUGUAAUUGAAAAGGGAUUAGGACCUGGAUUACAGCCUUAGACCUCUUUCCUGUUCUCAAUUUAUUUCCAUUUGUUUUUUCUCACUUCCUCUCUCUGUUCUUUGUUCUCUCCUUUCUCCUCUUCUUUUUCUACUCAUCCUACUGUCUUGACCUGAGGCAGCAUGGAGUAAAUACCAUUGCUUAUCAAGGUUCUUAUUAUUAUUAUAUAUUGUCAGAAAACCAUUGAUAAGACAUAUACAGCCCAAGGGUCAUUGCCCUAUCUAAAUAUCGCAAACAACAUAUUACAGGGCUCAAAAGCAAUAUGAAUGUCUCACUAUUUUGAGGAAGUUUGGUAUCAUAGUAUUCUUAGGUGUUAAGGAAUUAUGAUUUCUUCAUCAGUUUUUUGGUAAAUCAACAUAUUUAUUAUUCAAUAAGGCUUUGAAAUGUGAAUCAUCUUUAAGGAUGUUAGAUUCUAUAUAAGCAAUGUUAAGGAUAAUAACAGAGACUUAUUUUCCAAUCAGCAGUAAUACUAUGAAUGUUUCCAAUCAUCAAGGUCGCUAUAGUUAAUUCAAAAGUUUUACCCAAGGCAAAGAGGAUUAUUUCAUAGAAUUAUCCUUCCGUACUAAGUAAUUUCAAGAAGACACGUAUCUUAGAUUCGAUGGCUGAUGACUUCUAAUAAUGAAAAAUAUGGCAGCAAGCAAUGACCAGGACUCUACUAAAUUAAGACAAGGGACAUAUCCAAUGUGUUUAAACACCAAUUGAUCACAAUAGUAGAAAAACUCAGAACGAGUUGAUGGUAGCAAACACACAGAAUAAUUAUAGUCACAAGUGGUGGCUAGUGAACCAAUAUGCAAGUCAAUCCAUUUGCACCAAUACCCUUCGCAUAUGAUAUUUAAAGGCAGAAAGGGAGAUUUUGAUUUAAGUUCCUUAUUUAAUUGCUAGUGAUGAGUUCUAACAUGGAAAGGAGUAGGGAAACUAUCAUGAGAUUCCUGACUUGACCGGUUAGAACCAUAAUCCAUGGUUGAUGGAGAGGGGUUUUUAAAACAAACAUUCAAACUAAAUCAACCCCAAAGAAAUCACAUGAUCAUGACUAAAGUUUAUCAUAAAUAAUAAACUUCGACUAAAAUCCAGUUAAAAAAUCAGACAUAUUCUAUUACACAGAACUCUAUACCUUCAAUGAUGUUAAUGCAACACCAAAACUAUGUUCCUAGUGUCGCCUUGAAAAUUAGUAGAUCGGAAUAUCAACUUGUAAAUAUUGACUCCACCUCCCUAAAUAGGUCCAUCAAGGCUCUCACAAAUCACUUAGAAAAAAUAUAUGUAUGAAAGACAAGGUGAGCUAUAACAAUGUUUUUUAAACCAGACCAGGCUGGCCGGUUCAACCGGUUGAAUCUAAAACUAGUCACCUGUCCAGUCAGGUGCAAAGGAUAUUUAAAAGUAGUCAAAACUUGGUUGAACCCAAGAGAACAGGACGGACUGUCAGACCGGCCGGUCCGAUAUGUUUCUCACAUGUUUGAAUUUUUUUGGGGGUUUGCUGCUCCAGUCUUGUCCUCGACCACGAUACCCCCUAAACCCCCAUAGUCGAUCUCCAAUAGCUAGUGCUACAGCCAUGGAGGCAACUGAGGGUGGCGGGGAGAAAAUGGGUGUGGCGCUAGCAACGGAAGAAGCUGCAGUGGCGGCAAAGCAAGUGGUGAUCACAGUGGACAAGGGGAGUGGCGGAGAAGGAGAGGAGGGAGGAGGCAGUGGAGCUGGAGAGGAUAGGAAGUCAGAAGCGAGCGAUGUAGCUGAGGUGGGGAGGGAGGGCGGCGACCGGCGAGGUUCCCCCGAUAAAAAUCUCUCACUCUAGGCGUGGCUACAUCACGACCUCCCUCGCUUUUUCUUAAAUUUUCUUUAUCAAAUGUUGCCAUCUCUGCCCCCUCUCUUAUCUCUUAUUAAAUCCAAGAAUAGGUGAGACAGACAGCUUAGAGACGAUGUAGCAGGAGACAAAGAGAUCUGCCAAAUGAUCAUUGAAGAUUUCAGAGGUUUCGAGCUAAUCUCUCCCCUUUUGUUCAUGAGGUGACCAUCCAUCUCCUCUUGCUCUUGGUUUAAAGGAAUCAUAUGCACCCCUGACUUUUAGAAGGGAAUAGGUGGAAUUUUUUCUAUAUAAAUUGUAGAAAACGCAUCCACUUUAAAAGAACCACAGAGAGUACUUCUCAUCGCCUGGCUAACUACCUUUUGGGAGAGUUCAUCUUAGAAAAAGAGAGAAAAGUAAGAUGACGGAGACAAUGCCAAACCACAUGCAGAUGGUGGAAGGAUGGGCGAAAGAGGUUUUUGAUCAGUAUUGUUUCCUCUCACUCUCCAUUUUAGAAAGAACAGAUUUACAAAGAGAGAGAGGAGGGGGGAGAAAUGAAUAGCUUGAACUGGGAAUUGGCAAUUCAUUGGGACCCUCCUACUCUCCCCUCCUAUGUUUCCUAUUUUUUAGAAUUUUUUGAAAAAUAAAAUAUAAUUAUGGCGUCAUAAUGACGUCUGCUGAUGUCACCGAUUGGACUGGUCUGAUCGAUAAACUUGGGAACCAAAUAACUUGCCAGUUCGCUGUCCGGUCCAAUUUUAAAACAUUGAGCUAUAAAGCUCGACAAGUAAACUUCUAUAAUGAUCAAGAAUUUAAGUAAAAAACACAUACUCUUAAAUCAUAAUACAAAUCAAAUAAUAACUGAAUAUCCAAGUGUCGAUUCAUUGAACUAAUAUGAAAUCAAAAGUUUCAAUAAGAAAACACAAUUGUAGUGGACAAGUCAAAGCACACGAUUGCUGAGAAGAGUUCAAAUAACCAAUGUCAGAUCACAAGUCAUAUAUUUUUCGAAAGUUCAUAUGAAGGUUUAUUGAAUCACUUUGAUAAUGAAAAUGCCAGAAAUUGAAGUCCUUCCGUAAAGAAGAAAGCGGUCAAACACAUUAUAUAUCAAAUUCUGAUAUUUCAUAUCGUUUCAUAUUAUCUUAUAAAGUUUCACACAUACCCUCGAGGCCACUCAUAUAUUCUCAUUGCAAAUGCAAGUGAGGCCACUUAUAUCCUCAUUGAUAAUUCUAAUGGUGCACUAAUUAUCCUGGUUGCUGGUGCAAGUUAGGCUGCUCAUAUCUCAGAAUCCUCUCAUACCACUUGGCCAUUGGCCCACAUAUACCACCUAGCCAAAUGUCUCCUUAUCAAAAUUCGCACGAGACCACUCGUACCACCUGGCUGGUGGGUUCGCUUAUAUACUUACUAGUAAUCCAGAUAAGGUCAAAAGUACCACUUACAGAUUACAUCUAUAACAUGAUCGACUAAGAGAAUAUAUAAGAAGACAUAAACAGAUAAUCCACAGCAUCCAAUUGCACCCAACCUGCAUUAUUGCAUGAAUGUGCCGUUUUAAACAACAUGAAGAAAUUAUACAGCACCGAGGAUAAAAUUCAGUACAGGAGUGCUCAUGCACGGAACAGAUAUGUUGAACCAAAGACCAACAUUUUUUUCAUUAAAAAAAAGGUGUUCUCUUUGGCAAGAGAAAGAUAUAAAGAAUCGAGAUAAAAUGGUUAAAAAAAGUUUUAGAGAAAUGAAUUUUUUGAUCGUAUUUUCUCUCAAGAAAGCAUCAUUCUGGGGAUUUUUAUUGUCUUUUGGUGUUGUGCAUCUGUUCUGAGCCUGAAUUAAACGAUACAUCUUGUUUGGAUUUUUCUUUUCUUUGGCAAGAGAAAGAUAUAAAGAAUCGAGAUAAAAUGGUUAAAAAUGUUCAACCCACAGCCGAAAUGUUGCAUCAGAAAUCCACAAAAUCCUCUAAAAAAACACUUUAAUGCCAUAAAUUAUCCAAAUAACAUGCCUAAAUCAAAGAAAAGAAAAACCCAAACAAGAUUUAUCGUCUAAUUCAGGCCCAGAACAGAUGCACUCCACCAAAAAACAAUAAAGCUCCCCAGAAUGAUGCUUUCUUGACAGAAAAUACGAUCACAGAAUUCAUUUCUCUAACCACAAGAUUCGUGGCCACAAACAGUCGAUACUCGGUACUAAGACCACCAACCUGCUAACAAUCUAAAACAAGGAUAUGUGAUGCGGGACUCUCUAUCAACUCCUUCAAUUCCCCAUCAAUCCAGAGAACACAAGAAGUAGUAGUUAGUUUUAAAGAUAAAGAAAAACCCAAGGGGGCGUUACGGUUCUCCACUAGAUGGCAACCUCACCUUUGAGUUCUUGGCGAAGCGCAGCAACUUCGCCUCCCCAAAAAGACCGGCAGGGGGGAGGAGAAGGCGUCCGGGGGAAGCUUCGUCUGGGGGUUAUUGAAUAUUUGGAGGAUGGAAUCUGACUCCUCGCGGAGAUUCUUAUUUAUGGCGGAAUGCGUUCACACUCCGGCAGGAGACUUCCAGGUCGUCGCUGGAAGACUAGUUCAAACCAUUGAAAGAAUUGCUCUACCGCGUAGAAUAGGCGAGGCUAGUUAUCAACCUGUGUCUGGGACCACCGAGGUUAGCGGACGGACGAAGGUCUGGAAAAAAUAAGUGAUAAGUAAAAAAUAAGUUUUAGGAAAAAUAUAAGUGUUGUAUAAAAAUGACUUAGUUGAUAGUUUAUUAAUACAUGAUUAAAUUAAUUAUUUUAUAAAAUGACAUGCAUGGUUCCUAGAAAUAUGUAUUGCUUUCAAAAGCAUCUGAUUUUUUUUAUAAAAUAAAUGAUUAAAUAAUUUUUAAAUAAAAAUUACAAAAAAGGCAGGCAAGUCCGAGGAGAUGGAGACUUGAGCUCGAGAGGGUAUAAUUAAAGGAUGGGCGACUACGGAAGUUGUCUAAAACGGUGUAACGAGGAAAAAAAUAAUUAUAUUUUCAAAUCUAUCUACGAGAGUUGACUAACAAAGCUGGCAGUUUGAUUGUAGAAAUUUUUUUCAUAAAAUAUAAGAAAAGAGAUACUUUCAUUACUUCCCUAAAAUAUGUUUGUCAACUCCUUUUCAAGGUUCUUUUGGUUUGUAAUCCAAUGAUUUUUGUUGGGGGCGGAUGGGGGACCUGGAACUUUAGUCCCACAUUGGAAGAAUAGCGGAAAGAAUUGUAUCUUAUAAGGAGGAGCCACCCCUUUUCUUCCAGAUGGCCCUUUUAAGAAAGACAAAGCCGUGAGGAAAAAUAUUACCCAUUAAGAGAUGCACACAACAUCCGACGCGCGAUACGUACGUACUUUCAUCACUUUCUCGCUCUAACAGAUGGCGCUAGAGGAAACGCCCCACCAAAACUUUCCCGCACGAAUCCUUUCCGCUGGGGGGUAGUGUUGGGGGGCGGAUGGGGGACCUGGGACUUUAGUCCCAUAUUGGAAGAGUAGCGGAAAGGAUAGGAGGGGCCACCCCUUUCCUUCCUACGUACGUACUUCCCCAAAACGGACAAUACCUCUAGUUGGGACGCAGUCACUUUCCCGCUCUAACAAUUUCUGUGAAUCAUUUAUCUAAAAAAUGAUUAUAGGAGGAAACAAUACCAUGUUUCAUUGGUAGAAAAUUAAUCUAAAAAUUGACACCAGAAAAGAUUGCUAGAAAUAAUUAUAUAUGGUAAUAUUGUCAAAAUUUUAAUAAUAUUUUUUAAUAAAUAAUUCAUAUAAUAAUAUUUUUUUGUUCAAUAUAUUAGUUGGUCAUUUAUAGCUCAUUUACAUGAAGGCUAUGGCCAUUUAUGGGUUUCAACGAAAAAAGUAGGGGCAUUUCUAGCAAGCAAUGAUAAUUUCUAACCUGUUAACCCACUAGCCGGUUUCAUAAUACGUUUUUAAUAAAUAAUUCAUAUAAUAAUAGUUUUUNNNNNNNNNNNNNNNNNNNNAAUAAUAAUUCAUAUAAUAAUAUUUUUUGUUCAAUAUAUUAGUUGGUCAUUUAUAGCUCAUUUACAUGAAGGCUAUGGCCAUUUAUGGGUUUCAACGAAAAAAGUAGGGGCAUUUCUAGCAAGCAAUGAUAAUUUCUAACCCGUUAGCCCACUAGCCCGGCUCGCGCCGGCUAGUGGGUUAACGACAUUUCUUUAUGGCCAACCCCUUUCCCCCCUUCCCUCUAGCCCAUCCCGCCCGAGUCUCAGACCCAAGCCCGCGUGCCCUGCCUUCCCUCAUCACGAGCCCAAGCCUAUAGGACCGCAUUGCAACUGUUGCCCACCCCGACUUCCUCAUCACGGCCCAAGCCCACAAGUCUGAGCCGCUACUGCAGAGCCCACUACUGCCAGCCCUUCUUCUUUAGAAGCCAUACCAUUUCUCCCUCCUCCCUUUGGGCCAUGGCCCAGCAGGCCGAUUAUACAAGCCUGCGCUGCACCCCUUCCCUCCCAUGGUUCGCAGGCCAGCAGGCCAGUCAGACCCCACGGUUUGCUGAUUCGCCUACAGACUUGCCGUGAUCGAACUAGAUUUGCACCGAUUGGCGAGCUGGCUUGCCGCACUCGGAUCGUCGCCCUCCACCGAAUCAGGUUUGUCCUCUUCUAAAAAUUUAGUUUGCUUACUUUAAUUCGGCAUUUAAUAGUUGUUUUUGUGCUUGGUGCUACGCCUCGAACAUCUGAAAUACACGCUUUCACAUACCCCCACAAAAACACACCAUAACCCUAGUAGUAGCCCUCUUUAUUAUUAAUUGUAGAGCUAAACCUUCGUUGGGAGGCUUACGAGGCUCCGUGACACCUGAUAACCCACUGCAUACCUGUACUACUUGACUGCAGCUACUUGUUGGCUUGCGUCUCUUACUGAUUCCCAGUUUGAAAUAUUUCUCUGCUAGAGUAUAGUCUUGUGUUAUAUUGAGCAUACACAUUGUAUUUUAAUCGUCCUUGCAUGCAUUAGGUCUGCCUCACAUCAUUAUUGUCCUCCUUUGAUAGGAUAGCAUUUAAUUGAGUUCAUUCAUCAUAUGCACAUUCGUAGUGGUCAUGUCAUCCCGCAUUCUGACACCCAGUCUAUCAUGGAUGCCCGCAUCAAAGCCCUACUGAAGGCCGUCGAAGACUUAACCACUAAGUCUACCCAAACCGAUGCCCGCCUCGAGUCGGUUGAGUCCUCCCUACGGAGACUCAUUGAAUCCAAAGAAGAUAGCAUCACCCACUUUCCAGGUCUAGAUUUCGAGAAAAUCCUAGAACCCCACGGCUCUGUUCGGCAGGUUAAUUUUGACCAUAUACCUUUACUAGGCCUUCAACAUGCCUACACUUGCCCUAGGUGAUCGGGCACCUUCCCUACUGCUGACUGAGGUCAUCGACAUAAUAUGGAACCUAGACAGCCUCGUGAUCAUGAUGACGAUGUGAUGAAAGGUAUUCGAGUUGAGGCCCCCACCUUUGAUGGUCGCCUUGACCCAAAGAUCUUCUCAGACUAGUUGCACGAAAUGUACCACUUCUUUGAGUGGAACAAUUUAUCUGAGGACAAGAAGGUCCGGUUUGCCAGGAUGAAGCUCAUCGAUCGAGCAAAACUUUUCUAGCAAAGCACCGAACAAUUGCUAGCUAGGAGACAUCAACCUGCAAUAACUGAUUGGGUAGAGAUGAAAGAAAAACUUGAAGAAAAAUAUCUACCCUUAAGCUACCAAGAUGAUCUUCUCGACCGAUGGAAUAAUUUGCGACAAGAUGAUCGAUCUGCUAGUGAUUACAUCGCCCAGUUUGACGAAUUUAUGAUGCAAUAUAAUGUGGAAGAAAAUGAAUGGAUGGUCCUAAGCAGAUUUCGACGAGGUUUUAAUGAUGAGCUUAGAAAAGAACUCGUCCUUCGAGAAAUAUCCACCCUCGACCAGACCUACACAUUCGUCCAGAAUUAUGAGCAGGUAACGAGGCCUAUAUAUGCUCGACGUUCUGACUCUUGAGGGCCACCCUCCAGUGCUCCUCCUUCAGAAUCCCGACCUUCGCUUGGGUCCACGCCUUCUAGACCUGUUUCCUCCACCCCUACCCCUAGCCGAGACACUAAGGGCAAGGGCAUUCUUGGUGAGUCCCCCAAGCCAACUUCCAGAAUUCAAUGUUUUAACUGCCAGGAUUUUGGACAUGCCGCCUCACAAUGUGCGAAUAAAUCCCUUGUUAUUGAGGUGCAAGAACACGAGAGUGCAACAGACGAUUUGGAAGAACAAAUAUAUGAACCGAAUUUAGAUGACAUCCAAGACGUCGAUGAUGACCAUGAUGAACGUCCCAACAAUUUAGGAUGUAUCCGGACCACGAAUCCAACAGUUGUGACCGAACCUGAUCAGUCCGCUAUAUAUGUAGUGCGAUGUGCUCUCGCCCAACCUACUGAACAUGAUGACUGGAGAAGAACUUCGAUCUUCCAGACUUAUAUUAAGUGCGGUGACAAGGACUAUAAGGUUAUCAUUGAUAGCGAGAGUUGUAUUAAUGCAAUAUCUUCAAACAUUGUCUCCCGUUUGGGUUUGACUUCAGUUUCUCAGACCCAACCUUACAAGGUCUCCUGGAUUGAUACAUCUUCUAUCCAAAUCAAAGAAAGAUGUCUUGUACUAAUUCAAAUUCUUUCUUAUAAAGACACUAUCUAGUGUGACGUAAUCCCAAUGGAUGUGGGUCACCUAAUAUUGGGAAGACCUUGGCUGUUUGACCUUGAUGUUACCAUCUAUGGUCGUUCUAAUUCUUGUUCAUUUAUAUUCGAGGGCAAAAGGAUUAAACUUAAUCCCUUGAGGCCCAAGACGUUUGACAAGAGUAAGAAGAAGAAUGAGCCAAAGAGCAAGGAACUCCAUAUCCUGAGCCCCUCUGAAUUUGAAAGGAAAGUCCUGAGCGAUUCCACGGUGUUCGCUUUACUUGCCCUAGAAAACCAUCUGAAUACGUCAAGCGAGUUACCAUCUGAAGGCCAUUCUAUCCUUAAGGAGUUCCCAAAAGUUUUCCCUCAGGACCUCCCGGAUCAUUUACCACCUUUGCGGGACAUACAACAUGCCAUUGAUUUGGUUCCGGGAGCUACUCUGCCUAAUCUAUCCCACUAUCGAAUAAAUGCCUCAGAGCAUACUGAGCUGCAAAGGCAAAUUAACGAGCUAAUACGAGAAGGGUUCAUUCGUGAAAGCUUAAGUCCUUCUGUCGUACCUGCCCUCCUCACUCCAAAGAAAGAUGGCUCAUGGAGGAUGUGUGUCGACAGUCGGGUCAUCAACUGAAUCAUGAUCAAAUACCGUUUUCCCAUCCCUCGACUCGAUGAUAUGUUGAAUAUGAUGGCAGGCGCCACGAUCUUCUCCAAAAUUGAUUUAAAAAGUGGAUACCAUCAAAUUCGAAUCUGCCCAGGUGAUAAGUGGAAAACGGUUUUUAAAAAAAGAUGGCCUAUAUGAAUGGUUGGUCAUGCCUUUUGGCCUCUCGAAUGCUCCUAGUACUUUUAUACGGGUAAUGACACGAGUAAUGCGACCUUUCAUGGAUAAAUUUUUAGUUGUGUACUUUGAUGACAUCCUCAUCUACAACCACUCAAGGGAGCAACACUUCGAUUAUUUGCGAUAGGUAUGCACAACCCUGCGAGAUGCAAAACUGUAUGCUAAUCUUAAGAAGUGUUCAUUUUUUACUUCUCAUGUCAACUUCUUGGGUUACAUUGUCUUCUUGGAGGGCUUGUCUGCUGACCUUGAUAAGGUCACUGCGAUAGUCAAAUGGCCCAAGCCCAAAACCCUCAAUAAGGUUUGCAGUUUUUAUGGGCUGGCCACAUUCUACCGUCGCUUUAUUAAGGGGUUUAGCACAUUUAUGUCCCCUAUCACUGAUUGCCUCAAAAAGGACGAUUUUCAUUGGACUAGCGCUGCUGCUAAAGCGUUUCACGACAUCAAGAGGAUGAUGACGGAGACGUUAGUUAUGCACCUACCAGACUUUGGUAAGGCUUUUGAAGUGGAGUGUGAUGCAUCCGGCCUUGGUAUGGGUGGAGUGCUUAGCCAAGAACGCCAACUCGUAGCAUACUUUAGUGAGAAGUUAAACGAGGCUAAACAUAAAUAUUCCACCUAUGACAAAAAAAUUUAUGCUGUAGUCCAAGCUCUCCGGUAUUGACGCCAUUAUCUGCUACCCAAUGAAUUCGUCCUUUACUCUGAUCAUAAAGCUCUUUGCUACCUUCAUUCCCAAAAGAAACUGAAUGCUAGGCAUGCCAAAUGGGUUGAGUUCCUCUAAGAAUACACUUUUGUCCUCAAAUACACAUCAGGUGCCUCCAACACUGCUGCUAACACACUAAGCCGUCGAGUGACCCUACUCUCGACCAUAUCUGUGCAUAUCACGAGCUUCAACAGACUCAUAGAGGACUACUUAUCUUGCCCUGAUUUUGGGGAUAUCUACAAUGCCCUCGCUGAUGGACGAGGACCCUCGAUCGAUGGGUUUCACCUUCAAGAUGGCUAUUUGUUUAAGGCAACAAAGCUCUGUAUCCCACAAACAUUAGUAAGAUUUCUUGGUAUGGAAAGUACAUGCAGGUGGCCUUUCGGGGCAUUUCGGUCGGGAUAAGACCAUCGAAGAGGUGGAAUGUCAAUUCUUCUGGCCUAGUCUAAAAUGGGACGUUGCUAAAAUCAUUGGGCAAUGUCGAACUUGCUAGUUAGCCAAACACCAAAAACAGAACACUGGCCUAUAUACCCCUUUACCGGUUUCCGAUCGUCCUUGGCAUGAUAUUAGUUUGGACUUUGUGCUUGAACUUCCCCGUACCGUCAGAAAACACGGUUCUAUUCUUGUAGUCAUGGACCGUUUUUCAAAAAUGGCACAUUUUGUUUCUUGUUCUAAAACCUCAGAUGCUUCUAAAGUAGCCAAACUCUUCUUUGAUGAGAUUGUCAAACUCUAUGACCUCCCAAAAACCAUCAUAUCCGACCGGGAUGUAAGUUUUAUAAGUUACUUCUGAAAAACUUUAUAGCACUCGGUUGGUACGAAACUCAAAUUUUUCACUGUUUAUCAUCCACAAAUUGACGGCCAAACAGAAGUGGUCAACCGAAAUCUUGGUAACCUCCUACAGUGCCUUGUGGGUGAACAUACUCAUACUUGGGAUUCCGUUCUUCCUGUCGCAUAGUUUGCAUACAAUAAUUCGGUCAAUAGGUCCAUAGGCAUGAGUCCAUUUAAGGUCGUGCAUGGUUACGAAGCUAGAAAACCUUUAGAUCUUUUACCUAUAUCACCAUAUGUUAUGAUUUAUGAGUCUGCACAUACAUUUGCACAACACAUUCAUGAGUUACAUCAAGAAAUUCAAAAGCGCAUCCAUGCUAGUAAUGCUCAUUAUAAACUACAAGCUGAUUCCCAUAGGCGAAAUAAGGAAUUCCAACCUGGAGACUAUGUUAUGGUAUGUACUCGGCCGGAGCAGUUUCCGCAUGGAACCGUUAAGAAACUGCAAGCUCAUAGUGCUGGGCCAUUUCGGGUAUUGCACCGGUGGGCACAAAUGCCUAUGUUAUUGAUUUUCCAUCUGAUUUUGGUAUUAGCUCUACUUUUAAUAUUGAAGAUUUGGUUNNNNNNNNNNNNNNNNNNNNCCAUUUCGGGUAUUGCACCGGUGGGCACAAAUGCCUAUGUUAUUGAUUUUCCAUCUGAUUUUGGUAUUAGCUCUACUUUUAAUAUUGAAGAUUUGGUUGCUUACAAGGGUCCUCCAUCCAUCCCUAAUGACUCUUUCGUUGAACCCUCUCUCGAGCCCACUGCUUCCCCUAUUCCUGAUUCCAUAUCAUCCCCAUCUCCUUUGCCUCUCCCACCAGCACAAAAAGAACUCAUUGAUGUCAUUUUAGACGAGCAACCAUUUUAUCCAGUGAUGGAAGCAUUCAACGCUUCUUGGUUCGUUGGCGAGGACGACCGAAGUCUAAUUCGACUUGGAUUACACGGGAGGAGCUCCAGUAUAUUUAUCCGGACCUUUUAGAGUAUUACCAGAGCUACACGGAGCCACAUUCAUCGAGGUCGACUUCUUUCCACCUGGGGGGAGUUGGUGCGGACACUAGUACCGGAUCACCUAUUACGCGGGGCUACGGUCAUCACAGGAGGAUGGUCCAGCCACUUUCGUUGUGGCUGGAUUGAUUUGAUUUUAUGUUAUUUUAUUUUAUAUUGUUUGGGUUUAUCUGCAUAUUAUCAUUUUAGGGCUUUUAUGGGUUUAUUAUAUCUGUAGAGGUCUUUUUGUUAUUUUGUGACCUUAUAUAUUUGGAUCCAUGCAAUUGAUUAGGGUUAAUGAAUAAUUGAUUGAAUGAUUAGCCUCUUUUCUCUUCUUGUUCUUCCUCUUUCCUUCUCUUCUCUUCUUUUUCUUUCUCUCCUCUCUUUUCCGUAGCCGUCCUGCAUCGGGGUCCCUUGGUCGCCACCGAUGAUGCCAUAAGUAAAAUGUUGUAUUUGGGUAUUUGUUUUAAGGCAUGGAGGUGUACAUCAAGCAUUGUGAUUGAGGGAGAGGUCAAGUUACUUGUGGGCACUCAAUGGUGUCGUGAGCGCUCUAUGCCAUGGCCUUUGCUUUGGGCAUGCCGCAGGAGGCGUCACACGAACAAGAAUCUAUUCGCGUCAGCGACACUCAUUGAUACAUUUUUUAAGCUUCUAGGGGUGGCCAAGAGUUGGAUACCUUCCUCCGAUAUUAGUUGAGAGGUGAAAUGUCAUGCUCCGAGAUCGCAUGUCAGGAGUCGCGGCAACCGCUCUAUAUUUAUAAAAAAAAAUUUCUAUAAGCAUGCAAGGCAUUUCAUGAUAUUAUAAUCAAAUCGGACGAUAGAAAUAAUAAAAUUUAAACUCUUACCAAAUUAAUAAUAUUUAGAUCUAGUCUUGUGUCAACUCUAGUCUAAUAUAUAGAAGUCUUGCAUGGCUGUACUGAUAUUGACCUUAAAAAAACCUUUUCUAUAUUAUCUUUUAAUACCAAGUCUUAAGGCCUCUGUUCAACAAACAAGCCUUCACUCCCAUUCAUACGGCCUCUUCGAAAAACCACAACCACAAACUUUUUCUCAUCCGCAUCACAAGUUCCUUGUAGAAAAAUCAUAGGUUGUGACACUUUCUUCAGUUAUAUUGCAUUGGUAUAGCAUCCCACUAGUACUAGUCAAAGUCAUAAUGUUAAGAAGCCAUGCAAAGGAAAAGAUGAUCAUGCCACAACCUUCUAAAUAACCUCCUCUCCAAGCUACCUUCAACAUCUGAUAUGACCCUACCUUUGAUAACUGAAAAAUAACAGAAAAUAUUUCUUUUUUGUGUGGACUAUGGACGUCCUCCUUCUCUUUGUGUUGCGGAAGAUAGAUAAGCAUUAAAGCUUUUAGAAAUUAUAAUUAAACGACCAGAGAGAGAGAGAGAGAGAGNNNNNNNNNNNNNNNNNNNNNNNNNNNNNNNNNNNNNNNNNNNNNNNNNNNNNNNNNNNNNNNNNNNNNNNNNNNNNNNNNNNNNNNNNNNNNNNNNNNNNNNNNNNNNNNNNNNNNNNNNNNNNNNNNNNNNNNNNUUAUGGUGCAAGACCCGCGCCUACUCCGGAGUGGACCACCUGCAGACUACCAACCAACCAUAACCCCCCAACAACUGGUCUGAUGCUGCAGACCGAAUAAGCAGUCUCAAUUAAGAUCUGUAAUCCCGGAACUCAGUACCGUAUUAAAACUUUAUCGAUAUAGUAUAUUGCACUUCUAUACCGAAAUAGUUAUUUAACUAUUUUUUUAUAAUUUUUAUUUCGAUACGUCUUAAUACAGAUCGGUAUGCCUCGAUACGGGCCGAUACGUACUUCAGUAUACCUCGGUACACUUCGGUACAGAGCGGUAUAUCUUGAUAUAGGGCGGUACGGAAUUUGCACCGAUUUGAAAUUAAGUUUUGUACCAGUUUUCUUCCCGUAUAGAGCAGUACGACAGACCAUGGCCAUAAUUGUAUGGAUAGUCGGGGAAUAGAAAUCAUCUCUCUCUCUCUCCCCCCACACAACACAUACCCUCGCUCAAAAUAUAGGAUUUGGAUUGUUAUCUUUCACGCAAAAAAAUGAUUGAUCUUCUUUUGCAACAUCAACCAUUGGAUCAUACCAUGUACAGAUCUCAAAGCAUCCCGAACUCUUUCAUUCAUCCAUCCAUUUAUAUAGAUCUCGAAGUGAUUAUCGUGCAAUCCAACAGUGAUUCAUGAGAAGAAAAGUGAAUUCUUCUUUUGAGGAAAAGAUACAAUCCCUAUCCCAAAAUAUAUGAGUUGAGAUAUAUAACUUGGGAUUUAUCCUAGUGAUCGUAACUCUCAGCUUAGCAGGUUUAAUUGCUGCGCUUUGUUUAAAUUUAUGAAUAGGAAUUUAAAGUCAUAAAUCAUAGCCAAGAAUUUUUUUUUUUUCCUAGCUAUAUGAAGAUGAGCUAGUUAAAUUCUUUCAAUGUCCAUCCCUAUUAAUCUUCAUUCAUGGGCACUUCAAGUUUGUCCAAAUCAUUUUUCAUGUGUGUCUCAACGGACAGGGUGGGAUCUCAUUUUGUACGUUUGUGUUUCAUAUUCAACAGAAGGUGGUGUUCAGCUGCAGAAUAAGCGAGGGAAAAGAGAUCGGCUGUACCAUUAAAGGAAUAGGCCUAUCCCACGAAAAUAUGGGGGAGAUAUCCCAAUUUGAAGGACAUCUCCCUAUUUAAUUUGCAAUCAAAUUCCACCAUCAUAAUUAAUAAAUAAAUAAGAAGGAAAAAAAGAAAAAGAUAAGGUCCCAUUAAUUAGCGUCGCUACUAUUUUAAUUGGCAGCUUCGGUGAGAUGCGAGAAGCUCGAGCCCAUCAAGUUCCCUGCUAAAGAAGCAGCAAGAAAACGGAUUGAAAGGUCUUUGACAUUUUAACAAAAAAAAAAAAGGUCUUUGACAAAAUAAAGCCCUUCCGUAUACAUAUAUAUAAUCAAGCAAUAUGGUCUUUUAAAGGAGAUGAGAGAGAGGUAAAGGAGAAAUUUUUCAUCUUUUGAGGUCUGAUCAAUCUUUAUUGUCAGCAAUUUAUCCUUAAUUAGGCACAUAUCACACUUCAGCUCAGUGUUUUGAAUUCUAAGUGUGCCUUGUUUAGUAGAUAAAUCUUUUGAAAUCAUUAGAAUAACAUGGUUGAAAGGUUGGGUUAGCAGUCCAUGGUAGCUUCUCAUGUCCCUCUUUAGGCAACUAGUAGCAUACAACUUGCAAAUGUUUAGAUAAUAGAACGACAGUACAUUAAUCCACAUUUGAAAGAAGAAAUGUUUAGGUGGACUACGAAGAGCACAUCGAUGCAUCUUAGUACUUCUCGAUGCAACUUAGUAUCAUUAACUUUGCUCUUUCGUAAUGAUACAUCCUCAUCUACCCUCUGAUUUGAAGAGAAUUGAUGCACCUGAGGCAUUCCCAGACUUUGAUCAGAACUCUAAUGGUGGAAUAAUAAAAUACGUCUAACCAUCAUCCCUGUACGUAUCAAAUAACGCACUGGAUCUGCUCCCUGAUUGACAAAUUGGAGAUUGUGGACAGUGCUUGCUGCACAUUUUGGUUGAGUUCAAUGGAUUUUGGCAGCACCCAAACUUGCGAAAGACCGUGACAGGAUGAAACCCUCGACACUAUUCAAGUGAGUCAAGCCCCCAUUCCACGUGUUCUUUAAUCAUGGAACACGUUGGGACAAAAUAUUGCUUCAGAAACGAAGGCAAAUGUGAAGAAUAGUUAUCCUAUCGACUACCUCUAUCUAAUCGCAGCUUGUUUACACACACAUCAAAUGGUGAUUACACUAGAUAUUUGCUUAUAGUGAACUUACAUGCUAUUUAAAACCUCUUAAGUAAAACAACUAACAAAAAGGCACCCACCCUCAGGGAAAGCCAUAAACCUAGAAAGAGGAUGAUCGAUGAUGCCUUUAAACUGAUAACUGAUUGAUGUCAAGAGUCCUUUAGUAAGACUUGUAUAUAUGGAUUACAUGUUAGACUCAGAAGUGUAAAAUCUGCUUUGCUGAAUCUGAUGACUGUUAUCGCCAAACAUGAGAACUAGAAUGAGUAGAUCCAUUGUUGGAACUCUCAGUCCGCUUUAGACGUCUCUGCCUGUAUCUCCAUACUACUUGAAUGCGGGUCGCAGCAAUAUUUCUCCAAUAGGGUGAUUCAUACCUAAUAUUUUGAUGGGAACAAGAUGAUCUUAAUUCUUGAGUUUCAAAGAACUAAAUUUAUAUUGUUUUACAGAAUUCUGAUUACCAGGUAUAGCAGUACAAUGCACAAUGGAAUUAUCAAUGGUGCUCUAUAAAUUAAAAAGAAACUCCAGGCAAUAAAAGGGGAAAGUUGACAGAAGGAAAAUUUUGAAUAUCUUAAGCACUUGAGAUAAUUCUGAAAAUUUUAUCCUUGGUUAUUUGUAAUAUUUCACGGGAAAAACAUUACAGUAUAGCAAAUAAAGUAUUUGAGUUGCGCACAAUGUAUUUAUCAACAAGCAAUUAAUAAAGAGAAGCAGCUCAUAAUGGAUUGAGGAGGCUGAGAAAAAAAUGUAAAAUUAACUAUGGACAUUAACUUGUAUCUAUAUGGAGUCCAUUCCUCUGUAGCUACAAUUUUCUACCUCAAGCAUCGCAUUGCUCUAAAAUCUUAUUGCCACUCAAGCAACCCUCUUCAUAGCACUUUCCGUAAUCACAAACUUUAACUGGUAGAAGAUAUUUUACUGAUUUUUGUUUAAUAAGAGACUACUUUAUAAUAUUCAUUGACUUUUGGUUUUUAAAUCCGUCAUUUUUUUAAUCAACAGAAGAACCUUUUUUUAUUAACAUAUAAUGCUUGAUUUGAUCAAGAUACUUUCCUAGCACUCUUGUUCCCUACCUUCUCUAAGAGGCCCGCUCCCGAUUCAGUUAGGUACAUGACCUGUAUAGGCCUUGCACCAUGGUACAUAAAAAAUGAUAAGGUAUCAAAUGGGCAAUGGUAAGUUGAGGGAUGGGCCAAUAUGUAACAAUAAAUAUCUAUGUAGACAGGCAAACAAAUGUACUGUGUUGGCUACCAUGUAGCACGGGUACAUAUCAUUGAUGCUAAAUGACAGUGAACCAAUGUUUAAGAUUUCUGUGCAUAUAACAACCACAUUGUUUUCCUCAAAACUUAACAACCAUGUUGACUCAGUUAAUGAAAUACAUGUUGCAUUAUGUAUGACGUUUUUUGAAAGGUUUUGUUCCUUGAAAUCAAAUUUUUAUCUUUUGCAAAGAUCUAUUCUCAUCUUACACGCUAAUGUUCAGCAUUGACAUCAAUUUUGUCUGGAGAAAACAUUAAACCAGAAACCCUACGACCAGGCUUUCCAAAAUUGGUCAUACUACAAAGAAAAUUUUAUGUCUCUGAGAAUGUUUGAUAGUUAGAAACCCUAAAGUUACAAACUGUACCUUGCUUCAAUCAAUUCCACUAGACAAAAUUUCUAUCAAAAAGAAAAAAAACACUAGAUGAAAAAAAUGAGGACAAGAUUCAGCAUGAAGAUUUUUCUCCAACAUUAAUUAAGCAAGAUAAUACUUUCCAUAAGUAAUAUAAAAUAGAUGUAUGUACGGUAGGGUUGUCAAACAAUGAGCCAUUUGAGAGAGCCAGCUUGUGCUCAGAUCAAAAUUAAGCUUGCUCGAUUUGCAAAUGAGCUAGGCUAGAGCUAGGUUGGGCUUGUUCAGUUUGGCUUCAUUAAACUUAAAAUAUGAGAAUGUAAAAUAUUUUAUACAAUAUUAAAUUAUUUUUAUCAUUUUCUAUAUAAAAAAUAAGUAUUAUUAUUGAAUUAAUAUGGUUUAUAAAAAAUAGAAUGUAUUUUCAAAAAUUAAAUAUAACCAGAAUAAUACAUCUUGUGUUGGCCGAAAUUAAAUGAGCUAACUUGACUUCUGCUUCAUUACAAAAUAAGUGAGACUUGAGUAAUACCUGACUACCUCAAGCUAGGCUCAUUUAUACCCUCUCAAUGAGAUAAGGUUCAUUGGUUAUUCUUAUUUCUAAUAUUAUAAAUUGUUUAUUUUGUUCAAUUACCAAAAUUUACAUCAUUAGUUUUAGUGAAUUACCAUACUAUAAAAAUGAACUCUAUUGAGUUUCAAAAGCACUCAAUACUAAUCAUGAAUGACAAUUGAUGACGCAAUUUGUGAUAUGCAAUAUCGAAGAAAAUAGUGCAAUCAUGCUUACCUAAUCGCUCCUUGCACACGUGGGCUCCGCAGGAAUCGGGAAAACAAUGUAGUGACUUCUUCCAAGUCAGCAGCUCGUAGUGCGAAUGCCUCAACAUUAGUUAGACACUUAACAGUCCUGUUUGAAAACAAGAGCUGUCCUGGGAACCUGAUUUUCCCACCAUCUGCGAGAGGAAAAAUUUUUGCACACAUUUAAUUAGCACGCAUUAGAAGAAGAUGUGCUAUGUCAUACAACAUACAACAUGAUUUUUUUUUCUUCACUUUUUCCAAAUAGCCUGCUCCUUGGCUUAGUAUCUGAAUUUUCUCUUUACACUCUACUAAAAGUAACUGGUUAUCUGUUUGUUUUACCAAUUUGAGAAACAGACUACAGAUGAAGAACUGGCAGUUCUAUGCUAAAAAGAAAAUUGCCUUCUAAUAAUGUGUUAAUCAUCUAUGCAAAACACUAAAAAUUCACAUAAAUGUCCGUAAUAUAUCCUAAAGUGCUUUGGAAGCUGACGUAAAAGCUUCUCGAGGACAAAAACAAAUUGAAAAUGGUAACCAGCGAAACAAGCACUGAAAUUGGACCUCUUAAAUCUAGGAUUGGGUUAUAUGCCUAGAUAGGAGCUUCUGAAUGCAAUGCAGUAUUUGCCAAUGGAGACUGGUGUACAUGUCAUACCUCUAUUCACCGAAGAGUGUUCAAGAUACCAUGUGAGGAGCUCCUCACCACAUACAUCUCCUUCUGAUAAAGGCGCUACAUUUCCAUCUGCUCCAAUGCUCUCCAAUUUACCCCUCACUAUGAAAACCAUCUUUUCAACGGGACUUCCCACAUAAAGUAUAUCACUUCCUCCAAUGUAUAACUUUUGCCUUAAUUUUUCACAAACAGCAUCAAAGAGGGCCUCAUCCAUCAGGGAAAAUAUCCGAACCUGCAAAUCAGCAAAUUUUCGGUUCUCAACAAAACUAUGAUAUCAGAAACUAGAAGACUCAAUUGCCACAAUGGCAUGAAAUCAGCAUUUGUAUUUUGCUUGCUAAUGUGCAUAACUACAUUCAACUGAUCUUUUGCUUCAAUUUGAUCUUAGUCCACAGUUCAGACCAAGUAAUAUCUUGUUAGAGUACUAGUAUAUGUAAAUAGGGUCACUAAUACCAGAAAUACUACCAUGAUAUUAUGUUUUUGGUAUCUAAAAGCAGAUCACUAGAGUUCAGGCACUAGCCUGUAGUAGUGCAUGUAUGCUGCCGAAUGUACAUGUUCAUUAUGAUGUAGAGUUGCAUACCUCCAUUUGUAUGUGUGAGACCAGAAAUGGAUUGAAUUAAAUUGGGAAUGGAUUGUUUUAGCGUUUCCGAGAAUAGGCCCAUACGUGCACCCUUUAGUGUGAUAUGCUCAUCAUAGGGUGUGUUUGCCAUCAAUGUCUGAAGUUUCACGUUGUAAUAAGUUUAGGAAUUAACACUUUCACUUGCUUAUGCAGUUUUGUAGGACGAGCAUUUGUAAGAAUCCUAUAAUCCAUGACCCAGAACAUGGAUAUGGCCCCAAAUGAUCUGGAUCUCAUCCUUGUAUCAAAUUCAGUAAGGAUCAUAAAAGCUAAUGAAGCAGCAUUUUUCUAUAUUCUUUGCUCUACCCAAGAAAGAAGAAAUGGGUGGUCACCAUGGCAUGCUCAAAGGAAAGAAUAACCCUCACGGUGAUUGCUCAUUUGUAAUGUAUAUGACCUAUAUAGGGCCAAAUAUAAUGGUAGAAACAAAUCCCGACUACCAGGUGUGAUGUUAAAUAGGCCUAAUAAACCUGUUAGAAGAACCAUACAAAUUUAAUUCUCAUCUGCACCAGAUCAUCCAUCUCCAUUAAAUAAUGGAAACUUAAAUCAUAAUGAUACUAAGGAUAUAGAACAAGUUAUAAUGACAGGAAAUUAGAAAAAAAAAGAGGUGAUAUCUAUACUUUAAUUGGACAGGAGUACGAAAGCUCCUUAUCCUAUAAUUCAGAGAAAUAGCAAAGGGGAUAGGGUAAAAAAUCCCACUCCUCUAAGUUUAACCAGACAUCCUUUUCUGUGCUAAGUACUUGCUCUCAAACGUUAAAGAGAAACAAAAAUAAGAUAGGAGAAAAAAUAAACGCUCCUCCUGUUCGAACCGGAGCCUCUACUUAAUAGGGGAAAAGCCUAAACGGACCCAAAUUGACAAGUAUCCUAAUUAGCAAAAUUUGAAUCAACUCAUGUCCAAAAUCUCUAUAUACCAAUCCAUUAAAUAUAUACCUUAAUCCAACCAUCCAAUUCUAACUUGAGCCUCUUCUCUUUAGGGGCGUGACUUGGGGUUAGUUCAGGCUGCCGCCACUUAAGUCUAAACCAACCAAUAAAAUAUGCACCUAAUCAUACUUGACUAAACAAACAACUUAACUAGCAAAACUCAAACUCAGCGUAAGACAUAAAUUUGAACCAACUAUAGUAAAAGAGUUGAAUUAGGUUGAGUUGAGAACGACUCUAGAAGUGCUACCAAGUCGGGUCAGGUCCAGCUAUCACCCAACCCAGAUCCAACUUGUUGGGAGGUUUCGGCCUACAUUUGAAUCCAUUCGCUACCCAUUGUAGAACUGGGCUGGUUUGGGUUUAGGUAGGAUCAAGUUGACUAAAGAUUGAGUCCAAGUUGGAUAUGGUUUCGUCAAGUUGCCCAACCAUCCUCACAUGCAUCUCCCUAUCCAAAAUUCAAAGAGAAGUCAAAGAAUGCCGUUCUUCCAACUCAAAACUAAGUCCCCCUUUUGCUUAAAAAUAACUAUCAAACAUUAAACCAAAAACUGAAAAGAAAGAAGAACAACCAUCCUUCCUCCUAUUUGAACAUGCGCCUCUCCUUCAUAUUGAAUUGACUGGAGAUUGUUUGGGUUAUCCCCAAUCAAAACUGAUUUGAAACCAACCUGAUCGAUGAAAUUUGAACGCAACUAGAGUUAAGAUCUCUAUGUAUAAGCCUAUUAAAUAUGUAGUACAACCCAACACACAAAAUUCCUAAUCUUGAUCUGACAUGACCGAUCAUGAACCCGAUUAGUAAAAUCUGAACCCCCCAAUAUGAGUCCACAAUCUUUAUAUAAGCCUAUUAUGUAUAUAUAGGAGAUAUACUACCCUAAAAAAAAUGGAGGAAAGAAGUCUUCCUAUUUCAAAGUUUAGAAAAAUAUAAAAAAUGUAAAUAUACAAAAUGAAAUCCUCCGACUCAAACUUGAUGCCAUCCUUACUUGACCAAGAAAAUAUGAAACCUAGCUAGGCCUGACCAUACAAUUUGUUUCUUAAAUUCCUUAUCACUUUACAUCCCUUUACUCCAUGCCACACCAAUCAAUGAUCAAUGAUACAUGAUCUAACUACCCUAGAUUUAUCAAUAAUGUCUUUUCUCAUAUUUUACUCUGAGACAAUUAGCAUUUAUGAUGUUAUUAUAUAAUUUUUAUUUACUUCCACCUUUAUUUUUUUUUCUAUAAAUCAAAUAACUCAAUUUCUAUUUUUCAUUUUAUUUACUUUAUUUUUAUUUCUAUAUUUAAUAUUUCUUAAUCCCUAGCAUAACAUGGUUUUAGUUGUACUAUGCCAACUUACAUAUGUGCUUAACCUAUUCGUAUCAAUUUUUCCAAACACAAUUUCAAAUAAAUUUACAUGGUUUCAUGUUUGGAGAAAUGAAUUUAUAUGUUCUUAUGACGUUAUUAUGCUGUUAAGAGUUAUUUUCCCCGACUUAUUCUUUUAAAAAAAUAAAAUAAAACUAAUCACAACAAAAAGGUGCUUGUGGACACUCUACCAUCUGAUACAAUCAUAGACAUCAUAUAAUUGAACUUCCACUCUCUCUAAUAUGUUUAUUGUAUUUGUUGUUUGUUAAGCAAGAAAAGGACAAUUUUAAUUAUCAUAAGCCACACAUACAUAGAACAUUACAAUUACCAUCUCAAGAUAUUAUAAAUUUCCUCAAAGAAAUCGUAUUAAAUGCCUAGACAUUUAUGGUAGUCCACGUGAAUGGUCCUAUCAUGACAAUACAAGUCAGAGUCAGAUCUAUGAGAACAAGAACUAGUUAUCAACAAAGUGAUAUAGACUUAUUGUUACUACUUACUACCAUAAACAAGUCACAUCUCAUGUUUGGAGACUCACUUUAUGGAGAAAUUUAAAGAAAUGGCGACGAAUUUCCCUUUGUAGGUCCUCUGGUAGAUUCUCUAGUAGCUCUUCUUCAUUUACACCUCGAGUAGCUGCCCAACUAAACCUCUCCGCUUGUCUUACUUGCCUAAAUCAUCAUGUAAUUUGGGUUAGUAUCACCACCAAAAGGGAAACUUCAGGAAUCAAUAACAAAAACAUGCAGAAAAUCAUUAAAGAGUUGAACAAUAACAAACACAUAUAAGUAGUACAACUAAAUGACUAAGGUUCAAUCCAGAUAAAUGAUUAUGAUGUCUGGACAGUCAUGCACCACGUUAGCCAAACUAUACUGCAAUUAAUUCAUAAACAAGGUGGACUCAAAUAAAAUAAAAUAUUAUGUGGAUUCACCAUGAAUAACUAAAUAGACAUUCUAAUGGAUAUUUCCUAUUUCAAUCACUACUAUAAAGUAAUAAAGUUCUCAGAACAAUGACAAUAAAUUUUGUUAUGAUUUCCGUACAGAUAUAUGUAAUUAGGUCAGCUAAGUGGUCACAGCAUUAUCAUAGUCGUAUCAUUUUUUUGAUAUACUAGACUUUGCCUUCCUCUUUGUAUAGGCACUUUCCAAGUCUAUCGCAACUUGAUGGGUCUCUCCCACUUUGCAUGAGCAUAGAUAGCCUAACCAAUAAAGUAGGUUUUCUUUCCCAAAAUCACUCUCAUGUUUCACGACAAAUUUCAUCCCUCAUGGAAAAAGUCAUCAACCAGAGGAUCAAAAUAAAGAGUUGAUGCAAGGUCGAGAUAUAGAUGUAAAAGGUUCUUGAAAUUAGGAUGUGUAUUUCUCAAGAAAUAAGACUUGCAAGUACAGUACAAUACAUCUUUAAUUGGCUUGUAAUCUUAUAAUCACUAGCAUAUAUUAUCUUCCCCUGGUUACUAUGCUCCCAAGAUCAGUUCAUUGCUUGGAACCUUCAUGUCGGAGCUUUGAAUUAGCAUUCCAGGAGAAAAAAAAAAUCUAGAAGACCAAUUAAAUGAUUAGAUUCAAUCGCCUAGAGAAUGUCUUAGGUGUUUUUGGAGUUCUUAUCUUGUCUAGUGGUUACUGGAACAUAAUUCAUGCUCUAAGAGCACCAACUGAUCAAAAGCUCCAAAACAAACAACUGUGACCAUGUCAGCCAAAUUCAAGUUCAGGGUAAUAUCUACCCCUUCUAUUACCUUACAUCCAUUUUCCCUGAUCUCCCCUUCCUCUUUACUUGCAUAUUUCCUGCCUCUUUUAAACCAUUUUCCACUUUACAUGGCUAGUUGUGCACAAUUUAUUUGAUAAUGCAUAAUGGCAAUAUCCCUUCAUCUAUUACCUUCUUUUCUUAACUACUUGCCACUUUCUCCAAUCUUUUACCAAUUUACAUCCUUCACUUAUUCUGUUAUUCAGAAAUUUGCGUCCCUUUUCUCUUACUCCACCUCAACUUAGUUUUGUUUCUUAGGAUGUUUUACAGCAGUCAGUUUUCAGAUACCAUCAAGGCAUUCACAUGACAUUAGAUUAGACGAAAAUAAACUGUGGCAUUUGAUCUAGUAUUGUAAUGAGGCAAUUAUCAUGAAUUGAUUUAUUGGGUCAAAUUGAUAAGACAACAUCUACAUUUUCAACAGAUGUUCUAGGGUGCAUCAAUUGGGAAGCAUGGCAGCUUGACAAUUGAUUUGUCUUAUCCUUUCUCUUGUUCUUUAUUGUAUUCCUCCAGCUUUGCGUGAUCCACUUAUAAGUCCUUAAUGUUGGGCUAUGCAUGGGACCAGCUUCAGACAUUUUAAGCUUGCGGCAAUUCUACAAUGUGCAGUGCUUCUUGGGGCUCUGGAUAUGCUCAAGUAGUUCAUCUUGUUCCUCUCCGGAUGCUGCUCCAGUCUGAUCUACUAUUGUUCUAUUCACUUUGUUGGUCAUCAUAUCAAGGUUUAUCUUUUCCUAAAAGGGCCAUCAGCAACAGAAUCCUCCUUAUCAAUCUUACCAGCCCCACCUAUGCACCAAUGCGAAUCAUUCCUUCUUUGUGUUGUCCUUGAGUUCAAUGUUCCUUUAACGAUGGUGUUCUGCAGUCUUCCUUGUCAUAAUAGUGUGCAGUCUUCCUUGCCAUAAUCACUAUUACAGGCAAGGUUGGAGGAACUGGUACCGGAACCCGUACCGAUUCUUCGGCGGGAUGGCUCGGUAUGGCCUGUGCCGUACCGCUCCGGGCCCGUACCAACACAGCGCAACAAAUAGGGGAAGGAAGAACGAGAGAGGAAAAGAGAGAACGAAAGCAGGGGAGGGACGCCAGUGGAGGGCCGGCGGAGCCUGGCGGAGGCCGCAAUAGGGCCGGCGCUGGGGAAGAAGGAACGAAACAGGGGUCGGCCACUUAAACAACCCUUCUUCCCUGGCAUUGGCCUCCCGCCGGCGUCCUCUUCUGCUCCCUCCCUCCCCCGCUGGCUCUCUUUCCUUCUCUUCUCCGGCUCCGAGAACGUGUCCCAUUUUUGGAGCCGGAACCGUACCGGUGGCUCACCGGUACGGUUCGAAACGAGCAAAACUACCCGGUUCGGGUCAGUUCCGCUGACGUUCACAAGUGCUAUUACCAGGCCGCUACAUCUAGGUAGCCAUGAAUAUUCGAUUCUAUGCCAGGAAUUCUAAUACCAGCCAUUUAGAUUAAUAUAUACCCCUGCCUUCUUCAUUUCAAUUAUUUACUAUUGAUUUAUCUUCCAGACCUAAAUCUUCAAAAUGUCCUAACUCCCUAAGAUGUAAUUAUCAGUAAAUUUUGCUCUUUAACUACCACUGAAUUGUUAAUUUCAAGAUGCGGAUUUGAUCUCAUUGCGGCCCUGUAUUGCUCUUUUAUCUGGAUUUAUAAGUCCUUAUAACAGUACCAUCAAAAUACCUGCAUUGUGGAUGAAAUUAUAGUUAGAUAUUGGAUUAUGGAUGAAAUUAUGUUUAGGCAGUAUAAGAAUUGUACUGUUUUCUAGAUGAAAUUAUGACUUAUGAUUAUGGAUGACACUAUGACCUAUAGAUGAAAUACCAGUGCCAUCAAAAUACAGCCCUUAUAACUGUAUCCUGGAUGAAACUACGGAUGUUUCUUGCUUGUAUUAAGCACUGUGUUAUUAUUAUUAUGUUUGUGCUGUAAUAGAUUGGGUUGUGGUCUGAACAUUGCCAUACUUUCUGAUUUCUUUUCUGCCUUAUCUUUACAAAGUGUUUUCAUGUCUGUGUUGUUGCAUUGUGAAAAGAAAGAAAUGCCUAAGAAGAGCCAAGAUAUCUCUGCUAGUACAUCAUCCCAAGAUGAAAAGAAAAAGAAGUCUGUUUGGAAUGACAAAUUGAUAGAGAGUUUAUUGAUAUCUGCAUUGGUGAAGUUGAAGCUGGUAAAAAGACUGGAAUCAAUGACUACAAACAAUUUAAAAUCAAAUUGAAUAGUUCAAAAGCAAACUGGAGCCUUCGGAUGAGGUUGGUAGGAAAGGACAUGGGGUUGGAGGGGAACUGUUAGAAGAAUGAUAGAUGCACCUGAUGCAUGGCAGGGAAAAAAAUUGCAGGUACAAGUAAUGCUAGUUUGAUGUUUCUAAGAGUUUGUGUACUAUGAUUCAUAAACUACUAUUGACAAUUAUAUGUCCACAAAUUGCAAGAUAUUCCUAACGCAUGUAAGUUUCAAGAAUAUGGUUUGCAACAUGCAGUGAAGUUGGACAGGUUAUUUACAAAUGCUAGUGCCACUGGGGAGGGGGCUUGGACACCAGCCAUAGCGGUGCAGGAGGUUGUUGAGGGCACAUUUGGGACAAAUGAGAGGUUGGAUGCAGUUAAUAUUGAUAUGUUAGAGGGCUUACGUGACUCAGAUGAUGACCCCAAUCUGAUUGUACGAGAAAUUUAUGACAUUCCCACUGUCAUAGACAGUCUUAACCCUAACCUUGCAUGCAAUGCCACCCAGGAGAAAGAAAAGAAGAGGGUUAGCACUAGGACUCAAGAUAAGAAAUGCAAGAAGGUAAGAGGUGCUGGACAAUUAUCUCAAUAGUUGAAUUGUAUAAUUGAGGUAGAGGAGAGUAGGAGUACAGUGACAUCUAGGUGAUGGAAAUAGUGUGCCAUGCCUGAGGUAGUCGCACAACCUGAAUUUCUUCUGAUUGUUGCCAAGGUGCUCCUUUAAAGAGAACACAGGGAAAAGUUUGUAGCUCUCAAGGGCACCCACCUUCAGAUUGAAUGGCUCAAGCCAUGGUUUGCUGUACCGCGCGGUGCGGGGCAUACUGUACCGCAUCGGAAGAAAACUGGUACGAAACUGAACUUCAAAUCGGUACAAGCUUCGUACCACCGCGUACUAAGGUCCAUACCAGACCGUACAGAAGCGUAUUGAUCUGUAUUGAGGCAUACCGAGAUAAAAAUUGAGAAAAUUGGUUAGAAUUAUUUCGGUAUAUGAUGCAUAUCGUUCCGUACCGUACCGAACCAAUAAGAUAUCGAUAUGGUACCCAGAACCGAGAUUCCGGACCUUGGCUCAAGCGAAUGUCAAAUGGAUGUAUUCUUACAGUGAUAUGUGUUCAUAGUUUUAAUUUGUAUUUUCUGUUGGAAAUCAUAUUUCAAUGCUGAAUUGUGAAUAUAGAUGUUUUAAAUAGUAUAUGCAUUGGUGCCAUGGUGGAUAAUGUAUUUUGGAUGUUAUGGAUAGUAUGUGUUGGAUGGAUUACAUGUGUUGAUGUUAUAUAUUAUUUGUGUUAUUUGUUAUGGGUUACAUGGAAAUUAUGGAUUAUAUGUCUUGGUGUUAUAUAUUGUUUGUGUUAUUUGUAUGGUUGUUUUAUUUUUUGCAUUUUGUUUUCUCUAUAGAUAUUGGUAGCACCGACAGUAGUUCCGAGGAGAACUAUUCUACUAAAGACGAGAUAGUUGAUGAUGGAGAUUUUUAUGCAUUAAUGACUACAACUAUUGGUACAACUAUUGAUUAUUAUACAAAUUAUAUUGACAGGGAGCCUUAUAGGACCUCUUUUCUGAUUGAAUUAAGUUUGUAUUAGAGAUUCUACAAGGCAAUCCAGAUGAAGUUUCGCCGUCUCAGUACCAAAUUCUGUACCAGUACCAUCUUAUUACAGUGUCCGUACGUAGUACGGUACAAUAUGGCAAGGCAAACCAAAUGUCAGUAUGUUACAAGACUGCGUACCAGUUCGCUACCGAUACAGUACAGUACGCCAGGUACAGUAUGGUACCGACUGGUACGGCAAACCUUGAUCUAGAUAGAUAUCAAAAACAAUUCAGAAUGGAAAAUAUGUAUUUGAUGAUUUGCGCAAUGAAUUGGAAGACAUGGUUUGAAAGCUUCUAGAAGCAUUGCUGUUGAGGAGCUAGGGACUAUGCUUUUGAUGAUUCUAAGAUAUGGAAUUGGAACAGGAUGGUACAAGAAAGGUUUCAACAUUCAGGAGAAACAAUUAGUAGGCAUUUUAUCCGUAUCUUAAAUGUUAUCUUAAAAAUGCCAAGGAUAUUAUUAACCUAAUUAAUAGAGUUUAAGAAUAUUCCAAAUAAAAUUCAACGACAAUUGCUGGUGGCAUUAUUUUAAGGACUCUAUUGGAGCAACUAAUGGUACUAUCCACAUGCUGCUAAAGGUUUCUUCAUCCAAAUAGAUACCAUAUACUGACCAAAACGAGAUUCCCAUGCAAAAUAUCAUGGCUUGUUGUGAAAUGCGUUUCACUUUUAUUUGGACUAUAGGAGGGUACCACUCAUGGUACAGCUAUUGACUAUUAUACAGAGUACAUUGACAAGGAUCCUUAUAGGGCCUCUCAUCCAAUUGGAUUAAGUUCGUGUUAAAGAUUCUACAAGGCAAUCCAGAUCAAGGUUCGUCAUCUCAGUACUGGAUCUCGUACCAGUACCAUCCUAUUACAGUGUCAAUAUGUGGUACAAUACAAGAUGGCAAGGCGUACCUAGUGUCAGUAUGUUACGAGACUGUGUACCAGUUCGGUAUUGAUACGGGACAGUAUGCCAGGUAUAGCAUGGUACCGACCAGUACGACAAAUCUUGAUCUAUAUAGAUGUCAAAAACAAUUCAGAAUGAAAAAUAUGUAUUUGAUGAUUUGCGCAAUGAAUUGAAAGACAUGGUUUAAAAGCUUCUAGAAGCAUUAUUGUUGAGGAGCUAGGGACUGUUUUUGAUGAUUCUGAGAUAUGAAAUUGGGAACAGGAUGGUACAAGAAAGGUUAUCCGUGUCUUAAAUGCUAUCUUAAAAAUGGCCAAUGAUAUUAUUAACCUAAUUGAUAGAGUUUAAGAAUAUUCCAAGUAAAAUUCAUAACGAUAGUUGCUGGUGGCAUUUUUUUAAGGACUAUUGGAGCAACUAAUAGUACCCACAUGCUGCUAAAAGUUUCUCCAUCUAAAUAAAUACCACAUAUUGACCAAAAAGGGAUACCCAAGCAAAAUAUCAUGGCUUGUUGUGACAUGUUUCACUUUUAUUUGGACUAUAGGAGUGUAUUGCUCAUGGUACAACUAUUGAUUAUUAUACAAAGUCCAUUAACAAAGAGCCUUAUAGGACUUCUUAUCUGAUUGGAUUAAGUUUGUGUUAGAAAUUCUACAAGGCAAACCAGAUCAAGGUUCGCCGUCUCAGUAUCGGAUUCCAUACCAGUACCAUCCUAUUACAGUGUCGGUACGUGGUAUAGUACAAUAUGGCAAGGUUUACCAAAUGCCAGUAUGUUAUGAGACUGUAUACUAGUUUAGUACCGAUACGGUACAAUAUGCCAUGUACGGUAUGGUAUUGACCGGUACAGCAAACCUUGAUCUAGAUAGAUGUCAAAAACAAUUCAAAAUAAAAAUAAAUAUUUGAUGAUUUGUGCAAUGAAUUGAAAGACAUGGUUUGAAAGCUUCUAAAAGCAUUCUUGAGGAGCUAAGGACUGUUUUUGAUGAUUCUGUGAUAUGGAAUUGGGAACAGGAUGGUACAAGAAAGGUUUCAACAUUCACGAGAAACAAUUAGUAGGCAUUUUAUGCGUGUCUUAAAUGCUAUCUUAAAAUUGGCCAAUGAUAUUAUUAACUUGAUUGAUAGAGUUUAAGAAUAUUCCAAGUAAAAUUCAUAACGACAGUUGGUGAUGGCAUUCCUUUAAGGACUCUAUUGGAACAACUAAUGGCACCCACAUGCUGCUAAAGGUUUCUCCAUCCAAAUAAAUACCAUGUAUUGACCAAAAAGGGAUUCCUACGCAAAAUAUCAUAGUUUGUUGUAGAAUGUGUUUCACUUUUAUUUGGACUAUAGGAGGGUACUGCUCAUGAUACACAUCUUUUUGGAGGCUAUACAUAGUGAAAAGCUCCAAUUAUUGUAAUAGGUACAUUUUAACUUCGAUGCAUAAGUGUAAAAGACUAACAUAUAUAUAUUUAUUCAGGUAAUAUUACUUGGUGUAUAGAGGGUAUCCUCAUAUGAUGGGAUAUAUUGAGCCAUCAAAGAAGAGAGGUAUCAUCUACCAAAAUUUCAACAUGGAAGUCGAUCAACGGUUAUGCAUGAAAUCUCUAAUUAUGCACAUUACAUGUUACGAUGCACUACUGAGAGGACAUUUGGAUGUUGGUGGAGAAUAUUGAGUACAAUGCCUAGCUUUUCUUAUCACAAACAAGUUCACAUUUUGGUGACUUCCAUACCCAUUCAUAACUUCAUUAGGAAUAAUGCAAUUAAAAAUUUUGAGUUUCAGUCUUAUGAUGAUGAGGAGGAUUUAUUCCAUCCUGAUUGUUUAGAGUUGAUAAACCACAGGAAGAACUGCAGAGCAAAGUCAAACAAUAAUUAACCAUGAGAUGGAUAUUCUCCAUGGUCAUAUCGUGGCUCUUUCUUUAAGAAAUUAUGCUUGUAACAUGGAUAUUAUGCUUUGUAUCUUAGUAUUUUGUAUCUAAGUAAACAAGAAUGUUGUUUGUUAGAAUCAAAAAUUUCUAUUUUUAAUAAUGACAUUCUUUGUUACUUGGCAAUCUCCCUUUAAAAGAUAAUUACAUUGUUUAUUAUAAGAUUUAGAUUCAAAUAAAAUAUAUAAAUUAUAGAUUAACAAUACUUUACAGUUUACACUAUACUAUAUUAAUAUGAAAAUAAUAUUAUAAUAUUAUACUCUAAUUAUAAUAUCGCAUUUAUAUAUUAUAAUAAUAUUAUACAAUGUAAUAAUAUAUUAAUAUGUAAUAAUAAUUGUAAUACUUCAUAUCAAAACAUUACAUUAUAAUUACUAAAUAAUAUUAGAUACAUUAUAUUGUAUUAUAUUAUACUAUAGAAUACAAUAUUAUAUUAUAAUAAUAUUAUAUUAGAUUAUAAUAUUUUAUUACAUCAUAUUACAAUAUUAUAUUACAUUAUAAUAACAUUAUACUAUGAACUAAUAUAUUAAUAUGUAAUAAUUAUAAUAAUAAAUAUAAUACUUUAUAUCAAAAUACUAUAUUAUAAUUAUUAACUAAUAAUAGAUACAUUACAUUGCAUUAUAUUAUGCUAUGCUUUACAAUACUAAUACUACUAUCAUUAUUAUAUCAUAAUAAAUCAUAUUUUAAUAAUAUAACAUUAUUAUAUUUCUAUAAUAUUAUACUAUUAUAUUGCAAUAUUAUAAUACUCUAAUAUUAUAGCAUUCAAAAUAAAUAAUUUGUAAAUUCAAAAUACUUUAUAAUAACAAGUCUUGAUAAUACAAAGAGUUUAAAAAUUGAAAGCACUAUACAAUGUUCUUUAUGGUCAUUUUCUUAUACUAAAAGCACUUUCUCAGUUUAGUUACCAAAUGUAUGUUAAAAUUCUGCAGCACUUUGAAAAAUGUAGUUACCAAACAGAAAAUAGUUUUUUAUUAAAAGCUUUACUGGCAAAAGCUCUUCCAAAAGCUCUACUACCAUUAGCAAUUCCAAACGAUGCCUAAGACUACUUUCUGACCUUCUAUAUACUCUCUACCAUAAUAAAUGACAAGUUGUUAUCAUACUGGUGUAUCUCCCCUUCUUAUCAUCUUCAAUAAUGACAAAAUGCUUAGCAGAGAGAUCAAACAAUGAACAUAUAUGUUGGAUGACCUUUUGCAGUGAUAAGAUAAUGAAUAUGUGGGUGACCCUUUAGAUUUACCAUUUUUUUCUACAGAGGGUGACCAUUUAGACUAAGUCCCUUGAUAUUAUGAAUAGUUCAUUUACAAAUGUCAUGUGUUUCGCGUGCAAAAGAAACAAUUAUACUAGUAAUGCAAAUAUCCAUGUGCAUUUUGUCAUAUUUAAAAUACUUAGAUAAAAUAUGAUAGAUCUCAUAAGUAUCUUAAGCUACACUAGCAUGAAGUGUUCUCAAAUCAUAUUUAUUACUGAACACAAGAACAUAAUAUAGUGGUCUCAUGUCAAGUGAUGAAAAAUUUUGAUUAAAUGAAAAAAGAGAGAACAGAAACUAGGGCCAGGAUAAGGCAUAAACAUCAUGAAGCAUAAUAUUGCAAUGUAGAGAUCCAUUUCAAUCAAACAAAAGAUGACAGCAAAGAGAUAUACACAUAUGGUAUAUAAUAGAUUCCAUGAAACCAAGUUAGAGUAAAUAUUUUCAUAAAUUAUUAUGGCGAUUGAUGUACAAGAACUGAAAUCAAAUAUUCAAUAAUAUUUUUGUAACAAACCUCCUCAAAUAUUCUGGCAAACGACGAUGGCUCAUCCAUCGUUCAACGUCACGUCGUCUAAGUUGCAUUUCAAGUCUCCUUGUAAAACAAAUAGGUAGAAUCAAAUGAAGGUACAUUGCAGGUUUUAUAAUAUUUGAUGUGUGUUUAUGAAAUUCCAAAAAAGAAAAGAAUCUUCUACUAAGUUGGAACUAAGAAAAAGUUUCCCUGCAAUGCUAAAUGUAAGGAUCCAAUAAGAAAAAAAUUAGGUUUUGUUAUCUGCUAUAUAAAUCAGAACACUUGGUUAUCCAAUAUACCUUAUGUCCCAAGAAUUUAAAAAUCAAGGUGUGACUUUUACUGGUAACUGAAAGGUACAGUAUGUACUGUGGUACAAAGGCAGUUCAAGGUCAGCACCAACCAGUUCGAAUGAGCAGCAACACACACACAAAAAAAAGGAGGUUGUAUCGUGUGGCACGAGAUCGGUAUGGGUACGUAAAAGAUCACCCUACAGAACUAUCCUGAGGGGCACCAUGUACCCAUCCCUAGCUGGAAUGGUACAUAUAGAGCGCCAUGGGGCAGUAUGAGCAGUACAUUACUGCUUGAUAAACAUAUUCAGAUGGCAAAAAUAUAAGUCACGAAUACAUGGUGGUAUUUGUUGAUCUUUUUACAUCUAUACCUACAUUCCAAUUUCAUUUUCCUGACUAAAACUAGACAACUGAAGUCAGAUACACAGGCCUGCUUAUGUAAAUACACUCAUACUAUUUGCACACGUGCACACAUAAAUAGAGUGAUGGAAUUGAUGGAUACUUAUAUUAUGUUGUAAAAAUUGUUUAUCUCUAUCUGCGAUAUGUAAUAGAGAGCAAAAUCUCCAAAAAAGAGACAAGUCAAAGGGCUUAUUAUAGUACAACUUGUAACAAGCAAAAUAGUGGUUGUAAUCGUACCAAGGAAUUGCAUCAUUAACAAUUAUUUUUAAAAAAAAGAGCUUCAGUAAGAUGAGUUAUAAUCACGUAAUUUGCACACCUUCUUCCGAGGGCUUGGAGAAAGUUCUGCAUAUUUCCAAUGAGCAAUGCAAAUAACAAGAGCCCCAAUCCAAUGAUGGCCAUAGUGAACAGAAUUUCCCACACAAAAUAACUUGGAACUUGGUUACCAGCUAAGGUACUGAUUUGCUAGGACACAACAUAAUAUUUAAAAGGUGAGAAAAAAAUAUAUCAAAGUAUGUGCACAUUGCUCAUAAGAUUUGCAAGAAAUAGCAUACAAAGCUUUUCUGAUUGUUUUGAUAAACAUUCAAAUACUAACUAAACAGACAAAAUAAUCAAAGUUGCAAAUUUAUGUGAAUCAUAGGCCCAAGGUUUGCUGUACCGGUCGGUACCAGUCGGUACCGAGCGUACCGUACCCGUACCGAUGGGUACCGGUAUCGGUACACCAAUGUCGGUACGGUCGGUACCGAGCGUACGGUACCGUACCGACACUCGGUACGCCUAUACUGGUGCGGCACCGGUACGGGAUUCGGUACCGGUACGGCGAACCUAUUCAUAGCCACACAGAAUGAAAAAAAAAACACUAAAAAUAAAUUGGGACACUGGUUACCAGCUAAAGUGCUGAUUUGCUGGCAUUGACAUAACACUUAAACAAAGGUAUACAGAUUACAUUAAAGAAUUUAUAGAAAAGCCUAACAGGUUGCAAGAAAGAAGGUGAGAAAUGCUACAGCUUUUCUGUUUAUAUUUCUACCCAUUCAAAAUUCAAACUCAUACAAAUAGAACAAAAAUUUCAAGUUUCAAUUUCACAUGAAUGGAAGCAAUAUCACGUAUUUCAAAACAAGAAGUUAUACAGUGCGGACUUCCUUAAUGUUAUCAUGUCAUGUAUCGCUGUGAUUUACAUAAAUUUAAAGUCUCUCGAGCAAGUCAAAUCUAUGAGCCUCACAAACUAAAAUUCAAAAAUAUUAAGCAAGUAUUAACUGACCACCCUAAUGGUCAUCCCUAUAAAUUCUACAUCGAGGGCCACCUCCUCCAUCAAUGCAAAAUCCUUACAAAUUCUAUGGAUGUUUUGUAUGUAUCUUCCUUUUUUACUUUUCUAACCUUGCACGUGAAUCUGAACCUCUUCUGAACAGACCUCUCUUUGGUCUUCAUUGUGCAUGAUCAAACUAUACCAUUAGUUACCCAUCUUUUAGCGUCCACCAGUGCAAUGACUAGACCUGCUUAAGUAUCCUUCCAAAAUAUCCUUAAGUUUCCUUCCAAACUCGCUCUUCUAGGAAGCACAGAAACUUCAAGUUGCAUGCCAUGUUUGUAUCAUAUAUGUAUCAAAUACCAGCACUCAUGGAUACAUCUAGGUUACAUAUCCAAUAUUUAUUUUAAGAAUCAUAUCUUUUUAAAAUAAAAAAAGUAUUCCACAUACUUCCCGGAUACAAUUGAGAUACUUUCCCAAUACCUCUAGGAAUGAGGGUAAGGGCAUUUUCUUUCCAUUUUUUUUAAAUGAAUGUCAACCUUUUAAUGUCAAUGGUCAAUUUUGGAGUUGGGAUCUUGAAAUUUUAAUGUGAAAUAUGGAUCAGGGUCCAAGGAUUUGAGUGAUAACUCAAUAAUGAUUUUGUGGAACUUGAUGUUACUACAUAAAGUAGGAAGUACGAAUUAUAUUAUUUUGAUAGUGCAUGUGAUUUAUGGAUGCUAUCUUUCAUAUAUAUGAAAUAAAUAUAUUCAUUGUGCUCGUCAAAUUGGUGUUGAGAGCAGUACCAACAUAUAAACCUGUUCAUGGGCUCAAAAAACUUGCUUAAUCCUAAAUAAACAUAUAAAAACCCUAAACAACACUGAAAAGCAACAAAAUGAAUGAAAAAUGUCUUGGUAGGAUAUUAGGAUGCUAUAGUGUAUCGAGUGUCGGUAUGCAAGCAUCUCGAAAUUAUAUCGACCCAAUCCCAACCAGAAAGUUUCUUCUUGAUUAAUUCCUAAAGCUACUAAAGGCACUCAAAAUGAAUUCAAAGAAUCUUACUUUAAUAAUAUCAUUUAUCCUACACUCCAAGCUGGGCAAAAGCCCCAAGUAGCAACCCUAUUGCACCAAGGAGUACUAUAUAUAUGGUAAUACAAUCCGAAUACGACAUAAAAGGGUGUAUUAUUAAGGCUGGCAAAAUAUGACCCGACCCAUGUUUGACCUGCAAUAAGCAAGUUUGGGUAUGGGAUAAACAGAUUUAAGUCAUAAACAAGUUGACACAUUUAAAACGUUUAAUAAUCGGGUUGGGUUCAAGUUUCAGCCCCUUGACCCGUUUAACCCAUUUAAAAAUCAAGCCGGGUUGGGCUAUGCAAGUUAAGCAGGUUACCUGCUUAUUAAACAAGUUGAGGAUGAUAGUGAUAUUUCGAUGAUUAACACAACAAUUGAGUGAACAUCAAAUUAAUAAUACAGUUUAACGUGAUACAUCACUAAUGAAUACGACACCCUCGAUACAUUCAUUAUAUAUUGAGAGAAUGAGAUCAAGACGACUUCCAAUGAUUAACAAUGAGAUAAAAUUUGUAGUAGAAAAAAGAUAAAGAGCUUUCAAAUCUAAUUCAGCAAAGUUUUAAGUGAAAUCUACUCUUAAGGGCAAAACAGUAAUUUUCAUUGUUAAGGGUAUGAAGUUCUAUCGUGGCAUACACUCAAAAUUACUUGAAAUAUGUUCUAUUGAUCAUAUGAAUUAGUCUAACCUUAAGAUGUAGGAAAUUGUGAGUUGAGUCGACCCCAAAGAAGUUUGGAGUCGACCCUGAUGCAUAUGGCACGGAGUGGCAUACUUGGGACAGUGUAUGAGUCGACCCCAGAAGAAGUGGAGUCGACCCUGGCACAUUUUGGAACCUCCUGGCACAUCCUUGGAAAAAUGGCAUAGAUGAACAGUAAGUGAAGCCGACCCCAAGUAUCUUUGAGCCGACCCCAAGUAUCCUUGAGCCGACCCCAGGAAGACUUGAGCCGACCCCAGUGGAGCCGACCCCAAGAGAACAUGAAUCGACUCCAGGAUAAGUAUUCAAAAACCAUGUCUCUGGAAUCCCUGAGAAGGCCGACCCCAAUGGAGCUUGAGUCGACCCCACUGUAGCACGGGUCGACCCCAAGAAAGCAUGAGUCGACCCUAGUGAAAACAGCCGAAAAACAAGGUUCUGUGAUUCCUGAGAAGGCCGACCCCACUGUAGCAGGGAUCGACCCCAGAGAAGGUUGAGUCGACCCCAGAGAAGAUUGAGUCGACCCCAAGGCUAAUGAACAGUAACUUGAGUCAACCCCAGGAAAGUUUGGGUCGACCCCAGCACGGGCAAGAGCAUAACGGCUAGUUCUGCAGAAGCACUUUUUCAGCUUCCAACGGCUAGUAACGGCUAGUUUUUCAAAUCUAACCAAUGGGGAGUGGCCAAUAGAGGUUGGAAAGUAUUUAAAAGACACUAUUCAUCAGAGGGAAGAAUCCUUUUUGCAAAAAAUCUAUAGAGCAUUCAAGAGAAAGCAAGCCCUAGUGUUCUUCAUCAAGUUGCUUCAAUCAAGUCCCAAAAGAAGGUGCUUGAGCAAUCAGAAAGUGCAUUCAACAGCUCUACCAACCCAUUGUGAAGUGAAGUAACCUGAGCAAAGAAGAGAAGAACAUCCUCAAAGCGAUAACUAUUUCUCAUCUCUUCUUUUAGUUCAUAUUUGUUAUAUUUGCUCAUUUAGGAGCUUCAAACUUCUUUCUUUUUAAAUCUCUUGUAAGGUUGGUUGGUGAAUCCGUAAAACCAACGGUGUAGGUUGUUGGUGAGCCCGCAAAACCAACAUAGGUUUUUGGUGAUCCCGGAAAAUCAAAGUGUAAAGAUUUUUGGAUUGUGAGCCCGAAAAACAAUCCAACUGUAAUCCACGGGAUUAUAGUAAAUUUCCAAGAGGACGCUUGGGGAGUGGACGUAGGUGCUUAGGAGAGCACCAAACCACCAUAUUUCUUGUGUGUUUGCCUUAUGUGUCAUUCUAACUUCACUACACGCACUCAAUUAGUAUUAACUAAACUACUCAUUCAUCUAUCAAUUUGAUUAAGGGAUUAAAAAUUUAGAAAACCCAAUUCACCCCCCCCCCUCUGGCUUGUCAUCUUGGGCAACACAAGUUAAUAGAUUAACAAGUUAUAUCGGUUAUACAGGUUAAUAGUUUAACAGGUUAAGCAAAGAUACCUAUUUAUUAAACAGGUUAAACGGGUUAGGUCAGAUUACAUGUUUAUUAAAUAAGGCAGGUUCAGGUUUCAAAUUCUUACCUGUUUAAUAAAUAGGUCAUAUUCAAGUUUCGAAUUUUCUGACCCGACCCGCAUUUGACCCGACCAGUAUAUGAUCCGACCCAACCCGACUGCCACCCCUAUGUAUUAUGUAAUAGAUUAUAUUGCUCAUACACCUUAGCACAAGCCCAUGUUGCAUUGCAUAUAUUAACAUUCAACAAGACAGGUCAACAUACCUCAGGUCAUUAUUAGUCAAAAGACUCAAAACAACUGAGGUUCGAAGCAAAAUUCAGUAAUAGAUGCUUUAAGUAAAAAUACUCCAGCACGCCAAUCCUACGAAAUAAAUUCUAAGGCUCAUUUCAGGGUUUUGAUUUAUUGCUCACCAAUGGGCAUUUGAUUAGAUCUUUAGAAAAAUAUUGUCUUGCUUGUCAUUUAAACCUUUUGUCCAAACAAGAUACAUCAAUGUGUUCAAUGGAGUAACAGAAAUUCCAGAAAAGGCACAAAAUAAUUUUGAGAGAAAAUGGACCUCCCAAAUAAUUCACAAACUCAAUCAGUUUUAAAAAUAACCUGAACAAAUGCACAUCCAUUCAUACUCUUUUUUUUUGCACAAGGUGAUGAAACAAAUACACUUGAAAAUAGCUAUAUUUGUUAAUAAAAUUUCUAUUUCAACAAUACAAAAUCAAAAAUAAUAUUACCAAAAGGAUAGACCAGUGCAUGAGGCUCCCGCCAGAUCUGGGAAGGGUCAGAUUACGCAACCUUACCCCCACAUAUGGAGAGACCAAAAAUAACAUUACAAGAUACUACUAUUUUAUAAAAUUAUUAUCACCUUAAUUUCUUAUUAUGUUUGAAGCAAGCGAUGGGGUUAUAUAGUGGUACUUUUGGCAUUAAAACUUAAAAAUAGUAUUGAUCAAAAUGGGAGCCUCCAAAAUGUAUGAUUAUAUUUUACUUGAUUACCUACUAAUUUCUAGUAGCUGCUGCUCGAGAGAGAAGCAGUUGUUUCUUUGUGCAAUUUUAACUUAAUAUUUUUUUAAUUAAUUAAUUAAUUAUUGUAGUGAUAAAAAAAAUACUUUGUAAAAUUUUAAAUAACUAUGAUUUGGUUUCUAUGAUUAAAAUAGUAUAAAUUUAGUUAUUUAAGUCUACAAGUUAUAUGGAUGAUUCACUAAUUACUUCAAAGGGACUAUGGAACCGACAAUUAGCCAAGAAAGCAAAGUUCUAGGACUAAUGGUCCAGCAUAAGGAGAUUCACCUGAUGACUUUGUAUAAAAUCUCGCUAGAGGAAUAGAAGCAAAACUUUAAAGGUUUAUAAUGCCUGCAAAAAUCACUAUUAUUUGGGUAAUGUGCAGCAUGUGACAAUGUUUGCUCCGAUUGCUGGGGAAUGAGAAUGCAACAUUUAGAUGGUAACUAAGAAUUGAGACUACUAGGCAAUGAAAGUAGGGAACUCAUUGCAUAUUUAUCCAGCAUGUAUAGUGCAUUCCAGAGAAAUGUAAUCUCAAAAAUAAUUGUCAGGGAAUAGUUUAUAAAUUUAUUGUGAUAGUGGUAUUAUUUAGAGGGCAAGUAGAUGGAAUGGGGUACCUGAAAUCCCCAGAAUGAGGAAUAUAUAUAUCGUGUAACAAUACUGUGCUUUGUUGUUAAUUCGACAGCUUGUUGAUAAAUGCCAUAAACAAAAUGUCCAUCACCAUAGUUAAAGCAAUCACUAGAAUAAGAAUCAUUCAACCAAUUUGUUCUAUUUUUAUCAUUCUGUUCAACAAUAUUCCCACGUCCACAGUCUAUAUAUGAUGCACAAGAUGGAAAAAGAGAACUGGAAGAGCAGGCAUCCCUUAGACAUUGAUUUAUCCUCUGAAAGGAAAAGAAAACAAAAAUUAAAAUCUAUCCAUUACCAUCAUUACACCAGAAGAUAGUUACAAAUAUCACCAUAUAUAUAACAGAUGACUAAUGGUUGAAUGAAGAUACCAUGGUAAAUUAAUAAAAAGAAACAAGAAAUUAAGCAUCCUAGCAUAUAAAACAAGGUAAGUUCAUAGAUAAACCAAACUAGAGCAUGCUGAUUUAAAAGUUGAUUUUCGAUAACUUAAAGAGGGGAGGUUUAAUGUCUCAGUCUUAUCAAACAAAAUGCAUAUGAAAGUUUGAGAGAGAAGCUCUUAUAAAUUAUGGAAGUAACACCACGCCAAAAGCACUUAGAAAUUAAUACAGAUACAACCUGGAAAUAGGUUGUGCAUGAAUUUCUAGAAAGUGAUCUAUAAAACCAUAGACCGAACCAUAGUUUGAAAUUUCACUAGAUUCUAGAAUCCAAAAUGGAAACGGAAACUUUACAUUUUCAGUCAAAGAGAUUUGUAAACAGAACCAGUUUCCAAAUUCUAGCUAAAACUAACUGAUGAGACCAAAACAACUUUGUGUAUUUACUAAGUAUGAUAACGUUUGUCACUUCUAUAUUUUUUAAUAUGUCAAGAGGCACUGGAAGCAUUUUAUCUUAGAUUAAGCUUAGAUUUAUUAGGAAGAAUUGGUUGUUCCAAUACAAAUCAGUGAAAAGUAAGUUUUUGAGCAUAAGUUAGGCCACUGUGUGACUCAAGUCUCAUAGGCAUCUCAAUUGUUAUGUGUUAUAUUUGCAUCAAAUAAUAAAAUCAUAUAGUACAUUCUAAAGACGAUCUCAUAACAUUUUAUUUAAAAAGGAAGAACUUUUCUGAUAUGAAAUAACUUAAACAAUACAUAUAAAGGUCCCAAAACAAACAAAUAUUCAAAAAAUUCCAGCUUAUUGUCUUGAUUUGCUAUAUUUUUUUAUUUUUACUUUUUCCUUUCUAGUUUCAAUUGACAUUUUCUGGAUUUCUUAUUAUUCCAACUGUAAUGGCUGAAAAUGGAACUAGAACUACCAAAACCAAGACUGAUCUGAUUUGGCAUAACACAAAAUUGAGUCUUCAAACUUGGAUGGAACCUUAGCAAGUUAUAGGGCCAGAUUAGUUCCUAACAGCUUUAACUAGAAAAAGAGAACAGAUCGCCUUAACAUCCUUUUCUGUAGGAUAGGCUCUAGAAGGGUUUCUCUAACAUUUCUUUUCAUAAAUAAGUUGGCUUACAUCAAACAGAUAAUAAUGGUGUGUUCCUUAAUGAUGAAUUAGAAGAAGAAAUAUGUAUGCAUGAAACAACUUGAAGGAUUUUACAGUAAAGGUCAACAAUAUACCAUCUACAGCUCAGUAAGAUUUAUUUUACCAACUCAAGCAAGCCCCGAAGCUAUGGCAUGAGAAGUGCGAUAACUUUAUCAUAUAGUUCUGAAGUUCAGAAGAAUGGAAAAUGACUAUAUAGUAAAACAAUUCAAAAAAAAAUUGUGCAAUAUAUACAUGCCAUGCUAAUGCAAAAUACAGCAUAUGGAACUAACUUGGAAGUUCUAAAUGAAAUUAAAACUUUCAUUCCUAGUUACUUUGAUAUGAAAGAUCUAGGUGUGACCAUUUUGAUCCUAGACAAGAAACUAAUUAGAUCUUCUGAAGGUUAAACUCAAAGUUGUGCUAUUGAAAAGAGGUAAUAGUAUUUCAAUUCCUAUAAUAACAAACAUGUUUCACACCUUAUGAUCUUAAUUCACAUGUUAAGAAGAAUUUAUGUGAGCCUGUCUCGCAAUGUAAACACUCUUUAAUUAUAGGUUUCUUGUUAUGCAUGAGAAAUAGAACAUGAACUCACAUACUUUACAGAAAAAUUGAGUAGAUGCGCCAGUAACCAAAAUAAAGCUAUAAGAUGCAAUGAAAACAAAGAUGACAAUUAGCAGGAAAAAUUACCAUUUUAAUUGGAAAAGGGAUUAAGAAGGAUAAGAUCAACAUAAACUUGCUGGUUCAAGCUUAUGCAGGAUAGAUAAGAUAAUUUAUAUGAAUAAACAAUUUUUUUAAGUUACAAGAUUUAGGAUCAUAAGCUUCUGAGAUUUUAUGUACGAAGAAAACAGUCUGUAUACAGUCUCAUCUCUCAUGACAGAAAACUAUAAACUUUGGUUAACUUAUGUCAUAGGAGACGCUUAUAGAUACCCCAUCGUAACCCUUUUGAAGCAAGAGAUAUGAGCUAGAGGAGAAGAAAUCCACCAGUAAGAAACAAAACUCAGGUCAUUAUUAAUUAAUGGGAGUAUGUGAUCAUCAGAAAAUGUUGAGACUUUCAUUUGGCUCUUUGUAUUAUUUGCGCUUCUGAGAUGAAAAAAAGUUCCUUAUAUCCAAUGCUAUCACUGCACUGUCCAUGUAGGCUCUAUCCACAAGGAAUUCUAGAGGUUCCCCCUAGCCAGAUAGUUUUCAUAGCAGAUCCUUCUCUUGCUUAAAUUUGCCUCAACCAGGAGAUCAGCACCAAAUAGAGAGUCUAAGUCAAGCUGACAGCAAGUCAUAAAAGAUGCUCAAUCCUUUUGCCGAUUUGAUGAUGAUGACAAUGAUGAUGAAAGCUAUCAGGAUUACUAUCUAUGUAGGUUCUAUCCAAGUCUUGGGGAAUUUUAUAGGCUUAUCCUACCAUAUAGCUUUUAUGGCAGGUCCCUCGCUAGCUUAAAUUUGCCUCAACCAGGAAAUCAGCACCGAAUUUAAAGUCUAAGUCAAGCCGACAACCUCACAUAAAAUAAGCUCAACCCUUCAGCCAAUUUGAUGAUGAUGUUGAUGUGCUACCACCCAUUUAAUGCUAGUUUAUUUCACAUUAUGAAUUAUAUAUAUGUCCACACAUCAAGAUACAUAACCUAAAUAUUAUAGAACCUAAGCAAACCCAAUAAUUUAAAAUUUAUAUUAUCUUCGAUAUUUUAUUUUUUUUUACCCUGCAUGUGAGCAAUGAAACUUCAAAGUCAAACUAUUACUAUAGUUGUUGCCUUGCUCCUCCAUUAGAUACAAUAAGAAAGAUUAUCUGACAGACGAAAGUCUAGGGAAAAAAAUGAAUUCUACAUCGGACAACAUUAACUUCUAAGAUAAGCAAGACCUUAGUUUUCUGCCUAUCCAAUGCAAAGCAUCUUAAGCAUUGGUGCAGAGUGCAGACUAUGUCAUGAUGUUGUAUAAUGCAGGUGUAAAGUCUAGAAUAUGGACCUUGACAGUAAGGCACCAUACUCAGAUCAAUAAACCUGUCAGUGCCAACACAGCAAGAGUAGGAUGCACUACCACGUUUUGGCAUAGUAUGGUACAGAAAAGUGUAUCGGUAUGGUAAGGUACAGCCCAUAUGGACUGGUAUGGUAUGGCACUUCAAUCCAUGAUUAUAAUGCUUAGCCAUACUAUAUUUGAUCAUGCCGCUGCAUCCCUCCAAUCAUAAAUUACAUACCAAGUCUUGUUGUGCUGACUAAUGCAACUCAAACACCAAUAACAGAAAUGAUCCAUAAGAAAACAUAGUGAAACUAAAUAUUUUAUUUCAUAUUUUAAGUUGCAAAGCUAUCAAAAGUUCAUAUAAACAAAAAGAUUGUACAUUUUCAAGCCUCAUAACAAUCAAUAUGAAGCACCAUAGAAUCUUGCUCUAAGUUGGAUGAAAGAUCAUCUUCUUAUGUUUGCAAACAGUCUUUAGUGCAUUAGGUAUUAUUGUACAUUCAUUACUCUUAUGUCCAGCUAAUGUAUGAAAUAAGAUUGUGAACCCUUCAACUAAUAGUGCAAAGCACUCUUAACUACUUGAAUUACAGUUUGCUUUCUUCACAACCUUGAAUGAUAAAUAAAAGAACUCAUAUCGUUCUUCCAAAACAACUUUUUUGGUUAAACAAAGGACUAUCCAAGUGCUAUACUAACCAUGCCUCACAUAAUACAAAACUUCCAUAAAGUUUCACAAAGAUGAUGCACCAUGCUAAGGAAUAAGUAAUUGCUGCACACCUGUAACCCAAAGAGGUACCAAGACGAACCAACAACAUGACUAGCCAACAUAAACAUAAGAAGAUUAAUAACGAAGUUAGCCCAAGCUGACUCAAAAAUGAAGCCACUUGCAGACUGCCCAGCAAGCAAGGGAAGAAAUCUAACAAUUCUUGGGGCAUACUGAAGAAGAACCGUGGCACGUAAAAGAUUUUUUGCAUAGUUUGCUGCUGAUGAUCCCACAUAUUUUGGUAUGACUAGUAAUAUCAUUACCUGCAUAAAAGAUAAAAAUGAAGAGACCUUUGGUAGGGACACACAAGAAGAUCAAGGGACUGCUGCAUGUUACAAAACUGAAAUCCAAAUCUCAUUUUUCUGCAUUAUGCUUUUAAAAAGAAAGCUUCUAUAAACACAAUCCUGCACCAAUGUUAUACAUAAAAGUAUCAUAGAAACUGUAGGAUAUAUACAAAAUCCACGUAUGACAUGAACCAGCAGCAAUUACAAAAUAAGCAUCCCUGUGAGAGUAUAUUCAAUGGAGAAACUACAGAAGUCAAAUCAAAGUGCACAACUAACAAACCCAAUGUUGAAACCUAGUUGUUUCCGAUCUCAGUAUAAUGGCUUAGGCUCAUAUUUGAUGGCAUCAAUUUACAAUGACAGGGAAAAAUAAAAGUACAAGAAAUUGCUGUUAGAAAGGUGAGGAUAAGUAACUGUAAAUCAUUUGUACUUUUAGAAUGGUGCAUCAUUUCCAUUACUUCAGUGUUAUGUUAUCAAAGUUUGUUCUUUAUACCAAGCUGCAAUAGAGCCACUAGUACAUUUUAAGUUUAGACUAAUUUUCUCAUUAUAUUUAUAAUUUUAUUAUCACUAAAAUAUGCUAUGCUAUGUAAUAUGGGUUCAUACAGUUGUUAGAAUGUGGGCGUGUACUUAGGAAUCAGAUAAUUCUUAUACCAAAUCUUAACACAUUGGAACUCAACAUAAAAGGAUUCAAAAUUUGGGUUGGAGUAAAAAGAUCUCUUGUAUUUCCUACCAUUUUAGUGCUUGUACAGUAAGCUUUUAAGUUUUAAUUUUUAGUCCUUGGACCAUGGUUCGUUGUACCACCUGAUUUGGUGCAUAUAGAGCCAUAUCGGGGGCAGGCCAGCAUAAUUCCGCCCCUCGGUUUGAGAAACCGAAAAGGGAGGGGGAGAGGGAGAAAGAGAGAGCCUCUCUCUCUCUACCUCCCUCUCUCUCUCUCUCUCUUUUCUUUCUCCUUCUCCCUCUCUCACCAGCUCUACUGUGUUGAGACGGGCUCAGCACAGAACGACACAGUGCCGUACCGAACCGUGCCGCCAGGCAACCAGUACAGAUCCCAGUACCAGCACAGUAUACCUUUCCUUGGGCACACAUAGGCCUUAUUUAUGAACACAACUAAGUGUUUUCAUACAUGCUUAUAGACAUAUAAGGGCUGAAAGUUAAAUGGCUGUAAAACCAAAUACCUAAAAUAGAAUGCCAAUCGAUAGGAGGCUACAUAAUAAAUUGUAAUCCAUCCAAGAAUGAGAUGUUAGUUUUGCUCUUUUAGAAAAGGCAUCAUGGGAGCUGCACACUCUGAGCCUAAUAAAUUGCAAUCCUAAUCCUCUCUCUCUCUUGAUGCCCACCGUGUUGUUUCUCCUCCAUUAUAUACUCCACCUUGGAUCUGUCUAUCUGCGUUCUGACCACAGUCCACAACUCCACAUCAUCCACAAGAACCAGUCUACUAUUAGUCCACUCUUGCCACGUACGUAUCCUCCGGUAUCCUCUCCUCUUCUUCUUUCCUCUUUUUUUUUUUAGAUACCUACUCCCCCUCUCUCCUACAUCGGACUUUCCAAUCCACAGUCAGAUUGCUUAGUGUCAUACUUGACUCCUACACUUAUCUCUGGCACCUAUAUACAGUACCCAUGCCAUGCCGUUUUAGCAUGGGGUACAUCAAGGCAAAGGGAUGAGUCCAGGAAUCUUAGAAGCAAUGUCAAGUAAAGGCACCAAAAUUUUAAGUUGCUUAAUAAAAUUUGAAUCCAUAAGUGGUUGCUCACCAAAAAUUUAAUUUGCUUAAUCACAUUUACAUCCACAAGUGGUUGCCCACUAUGUAUAUUAAGGCCAUAGAAAUCGACCCCAAUACAUGAUUGGAAUAACAAAAUGCAAGCACCUAACAUGACCAUCCACCAAAACCAUGUAGAACAGUAACAACUUGCAACACCUACCAACCCACCUAACCCCACUCCUAUACACAAACAUGUAAUAUUUCUAUAAUUCAGUACCCUUUUGAGGAUUCUGAAGCACAACAAUUCGUACACAGUAACAAGUUGAACAAAGUUUACCCAUUACAAGUUAAGGUAAUCAAUCAACUAACCUAGGUCCUAACCAAUAAUUCGGUUAACUACUGAACAAGUAACUUUGUGGGCAAGGUGAGUGUUACACCAGCAAUAUCCAUACAUUCUUUUAGUAAUAUCUCAUUCUACUUGGCACAAUAGAAGAUUGGAAGUGUAAUUCUAACCUAGAUAUUCCCCAUCAAAUUAAAGAUAAGCCAAAAUAACCAAAAACUUGCAAAAGCAUACACUCAUUGCAUCAUAUUUCAUGCCAUUUUUACUAGCUUCUGACCAAAUCCUCAACAAAGAUACCCACUACCUUAGAGCUCAAGAUCACAAGUAAUAUUUUUAGGGAAGCUAGGUAGCAACACCUAGGCUUCCCAUGUGCUUCCAUUUGUUAUUAUGGCCACAAAAUCCUAAAGUAUGAGAGGGAAAAGGACCCUAUAGCUUCCAAAAUAAAAAAGAUCAUUUUUAGGAUUAAGACUCUAGUAUAGUACCCUCAGACUAGCCAUAUUGUACCAGAUCAAGGACUAGUACAGAUGAUCUUGACAUGCCCCAAUUUUAGCAAACUAGGCCCUAACUGCCCUAUUGCACCAUAUAACACCAGGGCAUACCACACCACACCAUGCUGCAUUGAUGUGUAUUGAUCACAUACCAUCUCUCAUGCUUGGUAAAUCCAUUUCCCUUUCUAAUGAUUUCUGUUGAGGCAUGCCAACCUGUAUCGCCCUUGUAUCAAGUACUGUAAUAUACUAGACCAUGAUUGGAACGAGUCCAUACAUCAAAUAAUUAAAUCCUUGCUUUAUUCCUAAAAAUGCCCUCCAAGAGCCAUGACGCUCUAGCCUAUUUGCCUAAGGUCUCAUAUCCUCCUCCUACCUCUCACAACCGCUUUAUUCUCAAAAAGAACCAUUGCCCUCAAGGAUGCUUGCCAAGCUCUCAUAUCCCUUUCUACUUCUCGCAAUACCUCCAUCCACUCCAUGUGCUACCACACCAAUUCAUGCAUUCUAGCCUUUUCCCUUCUCUUUUCACCUCCUCUCCCUCUGCUCUAAGGCAGAAUUUACGUGCCAUCUACAAUAUCAAGUGAAUUGUUGAUAUAAUCUUCCCAAUCAUCAAAGUUUUCCUUGCAUGUAUAGGAUCCAUUGGCUUCAGUAUUUCCUUUCUACUUCUUUUCAAAAGCCUUAACAAAAAUCAUUCUCGAAGCAUAAGGUUGUGAUGUCCUUUUUGCAAUUAAGAUGUCAACAAAGAGGAGCUAAGCCUAAAGAUUUGCAGACUUGCUUUCUUUCUAGCAGCAUAAAUACUUUGGGAUCACCCGAUGGAUCUAGAUAGGAUCUCAUGGCACCAAUUUCAAAUAUUUCUUUAGGGAGACAAUAAAAAGGUGGGAUUUCAUUGAAUAACUAGAGCAAAAUUCAAAGCAUAGCAGAGAUCCGGGGCCCAAAUUCAACACUCUUAACACCCAAGUAGAGACAAAAAGGCUGCUACUUCGCAACUCUACCAGCCUAAAAAUCAAAGGACAAUAAGAUUAAAACAAACCCAUAGAAAGAGGCAGUCCUAUUGUCCAUGCCCAAAACAAAACCACCUUUACCUAUGACAGUUCGUCAGGUGCCUAACCUAGCACACUUCAUUGGGACACCUCCACCUAGGACACUUCAAUCCUUGAUUGAAUGUCCAUGGUGUAAGAAGGAUAUGACAUAACAAUAUUGCAAGGUUACUCAAUUUUCCAAUUUUUGUAUGUCAAACUUGUGUAGCAGAAUGCCAGUCAAAGCUACAAAUGUAUGUAGGAUUGUGCUAUUAUAUAUAUUCAAGAUUCAAGUAGUUUAAUGGUGCAUAGACUUGCAAUAAUAUUUGCACUUAUAUUUAAAAAAAUAAAAAAAAGACAAAUCACAAAUAAGAGAAAUUCAUACCUGAGGAAGUGGCAACACAACAAACACAUCAAAUAUGAAGUAACCACGAAGAUAAUGAAGUGCAAUUUUUUUUGGCUGAUCAACUAAAUCCCCAGCACCAACAACUCUGGAUUCAGGUGCAACAUAUGCUAGUCUGAACUGUAGAAGAUAAAUUAAAUGUAUCAAUACAGUAAACUACUGCACUUUAAGCAUUUUAUGUUUAAGAUGACUAGUCUUAAUUCAGGUAAUUGACCUAAACCGACAUCUAUAAGGAUAAAUAAUAACUAGCAGUUUCUCUAUUCAUACCCUAUGUCACACGGACUAAGAAUAGGAUUCUUUCAAAUAUCUAAGAAUUUCAUUACUGCAUCCAAGUAACAUACUAAUAUCCAUGUUCAAAUAUCUAAGGAAAGAACCAUGCAAAGUCACUAGAGCUAGUUAAAAACAAGGUCGGCAGAACCACCCCGAACCGGGCGGUUCCGGCCGUCCCGAGCCGUUCCGGUGUCUGUACGAUUCUGAAACCCAUUGACGGAGCCGGAGAAGGAAAAGAAAAGAGAGAGUGAGAGGGGGAGGAAGGGAGAGAGAGAGGGCGGGACGCCGGCGGAGUGCCAGCGGAGGCCAACAGAGGCCAUUCGAAACAAGGUCAGCGGCCGGGGCCUUAAAAAAAUUCACGAUUUUUAAGUGAAGUCGGCAAAUCAAGGCCGGCCUCCACCGGUACUUUGCCAGCGUCUGCCACCCUCCUCUGGCCCGCCCUCCCCCACUUGCUUUCUUUCUCUUUUCCUCUCUGCACAGUCCCUCUCUCGGUACAAGGCCGGCACAGUCCGUACCAAUUCAUCCCGCCAGAAAACCAGUAUGGUGCCCGGUACCAGUUCCUCCCACCUUGGUUUAAAACCAGCCCAAGCACUAUUUAAAAAAUUGUAAAUAUCACAAAUUGAUGAUAAAAGAAUCUCCUUUAGAAGGACUUGGACCCAAUUGUAAACUACUAGGAGUAGAUAGAAACACAACUAGAGCUAGUAAAGUAAAUGGUAACAAGAAGUUGGAUGCCGUGUUGCCAUGAUGAUCAAAAAUUCCUAUAAAUCUGAAAAAAUGAGUAAACUUAUCUAAAACUAUAACUAUUAGCCAAAGAAAUUGGAUAUGGUUUGGAUCAAGAUGAAGAUUUAAGGAGAGCCAAUAUCGUGUCAAAGCUCCCAAUACAGGUAUCUAAUAACAAUUUAAACCUGAUAGAAAAGCUCGAUCGGAAAUGUAUAUUAAAGCACCAUAUUAAAUAUAUCAACUAGGAGAGUUUCAAACCAAAUAUACUAUUUCGAGAAAAUAUGUUCAACAUUACUGUUGUUUGAUAUGGUUUACACAAAAAAUUCUAUCACGCCCCCGCUUACGCGGGGCACGUGAGGCACCCAAUGCCCACGUGGGGGCCACAUGAGAGGAAAAAUACGGAGCUCCCCUGCCAGAUAUUGUCCAGUUCCGGGGCUUCACGCAAGCGUCCUUCACCCCUUCCCGAUUUUGUUUUUCUUCCAAAAUGCGUAUGCAGGAUUUGGAGACACCCGCCUCAUAUGCCAGGCUCUGCAACGAGUCUUUCUGAUGUGGGACUAUUGGGCCUCACACCUUUCCCACCAUCAGACAAGAGCCGUCCUCGGCUCUGAUACCAAAUGUCAUGCCCCCGCCUCCGCGGAGCACGUGAGGCACCCAGUGCCCACAUGGGAGCCAUGUGAGGUAUUUACUGAUCACAAAAGCUUAAAGUAUAUAUUUACCCAGAAGGAGUUAAACAUAAGGCAGAGGAGAUGGCUCGAACUAUUGAAAGAUUAUCAUCUAAAUAUUAAGUAUCAUCCGGAAAAGGCUAAUGUGGUGGCAGAUGCCCUCAGUAGGAAGUCAGCAGUGGGCACAACAGCUUUGCUCACUACUCAAAAGCAAAUUUUUAAAGAUCUCUACAUGAUGCAGAUUGAGGUGACUACCAAGAAUGCUGGGAGCAUGCUGGCUAGUUCGAUGGUACAACCCACCUUGGUAGAGAAAAUAAAGGCUGCCCAACAGAUAGAUGUACAGAUGUGUAAGCUCAAGAAAGAUGCAGAAAGAGGGUUGCGACCCGAACUCGGGAUUCACCCAGAUAGUACUCUACGAUUUGGGAGUAGACUGUGUGUACCAAAAGAUGCUGACUUAAAGAAAGAGAUUUUGGAGGAAGCUCACCAAUCCCAUUUCUCUAUUCAUCCUGGUAGCACUAAGAUGUAUAGAGAUUUAAGGGAACAUUUUUGGUGGAAUGGCAUGAAAAGAGAGAUAGCCGAAUUUGUAGCUCGGUGCUUGGUAUGUCAGUAAGUGAAAGCUGAACACCAAAGACCUGCAGGAUUGUUGGAGCCAUUGGAGAUACCAGAAUGGAAAUAGGAACAUAUCACCAUGGACUUCGUUAUUGGGCUUCCCAAGACAGUCAAGAAAAAUGAUGCAGUGUAGGUGAUUGUUGAUCGCCUCACAAAGUCAGCUCACUUUUUACCCUUUAGGGUUGGCACUUCACUUGAUAGGCUGGCGCAGAGGUACAUUGAUGAGAUCGUGCGCCUACAUGGGGUACCGGUAAGCAUUAUAUCUGAUCGGGACCCACGAUUUGUAUCUAGAUUCUGGAGAAGUUUUCAAGAUGCUAUGGGUACUGAAUUGAGGCUUAGCACUUCUUACCACCCUCAAACCGAUGGUCAGUCAGAAAGGACGAUCCAAACCUUAGAGGAUAUGCUGAGGACAUGUACAGUUAAUCUUGGAGGUUGCUGGGAUAAUCAUAUACCCUUGGUAGAGUUUGCCUAUAAUAAUAGUUAUCAUUCUAGCAUCAAGAUGGCACCAUAUGAAGCUCUUUAUGGGAGGAAGUGCAGGUCUCCUCUACAUUGGGAUGAUGUUGGAGAAAAGAAGUUAUUGGGUCCAGAAUUAGUGCAGAAUGCCAGGGAGAGAAUCUUGUUGAUCAGGGAAAGACUCAAGGCAGCUCAGAAUAGACAAAAGAGUUGGGCAGAUAAAAAGAGGAGAGAAGUAGAAUUUCAAGUAGGUGAUUUUGUUUUCUUGAAGAUUUCACCCUCGAAAGGUAUCAUGAGAUUUGGGAGACAUAGUAAACUAAGUCCUCGAUACAUCGGGCCCUUUGAGAUUCUGGACAGAGUUGGGGAGGUUGCUUACAGAUUAGCCUUGCCACCCGGGCUAUCUAAAGUACACAAUGUUUUUCAAGUUUCCUUACUGAGGAAGUAUGUCUCGGAUCCCAGUCAUGGGGUACAGUAUGAGCCAUUGCAAGUUGACGAAGAUUUGACUUAUGAAGAAUUUCCUUUACGUAUUAUUGAUCGCAAGAAGCAAGUUUUGAGGCGGCGCACCAUCCCCCAUGUGAAAGUACAAUGGAGCAACCAUUCAGAAAGAGAGGCGACUUGGGAGCUUGAGGAUGAAAUGCGUGCGAGGCAUCCGCAAUUCUUCGAAGUCUCAGGUAUGUAAAUUUCGAGGACGAAAUUUUAUUUAAGGGGGGGAGAAUGUGAGGCCCAAGCCGAAGGAGAGGUCGAAAUCCUCGGCUGCACCUUCUCGAGCGUAACGGGGGCGGGAUCCGCGGCGGCCAUUUGAAUGGCCGAUGAACCCGCGCAACCGCCGCUGAAAUCGCGGCGGUGAAUGAGCAGAGCCGUUUGAAAUUUUCUCAGUAAAAUCCUCCCAUUGACCCGCAUCUGAGAUCCACCAAGCACUUCUCCUUCCCCACCCUACUCUGCCUCUAACUCCUUUCCAUCCUUCGCUGCUAGGGUUUGGAGCUCACAUCAGUGCCGCCGGAGAGAGUAGCUGCAGCUUCUCUUCGUAGCAAGGUAAACCCUAACCCUGUUUCCUUUCUACCUUAUGAUAAUGAAAUAAAAGGAAAGAAGAAGAGGAGAAAAAGGCAUACCUUUGGUCGUCAGCGCUGUCGGCUCUCAGCCACAGGUACCGUCUGGCUUCAGCCGCAUGUAUCCCCAGUCCUCGGCCGCAGCCACUACCAGUCGUCGACAGAGGCUGCAGUCGGGUCGGAGCCCUUCCCUUCUCCCUUCUGAUGGGACAAAGGGGGCGACUCUCGCCUUUUUCCCUGGGUGAAUAGAAGAAGAAAGAAAGAAAGAAAGAAGAAACAAGUAAAAAAAAAGGGAGGUGACUCACUGUGGGCGCCGGCCAUAGGCGCGGCCUGCGACUGCGGGCGUCGGAGGCCGGGGGACGCCGGCCACGGAACGCGAGNNNNNNNNNNNNNNNNNNNNNNNNNNNNNNNNNNNNNNNNNNNNNNNNNNNNNNNNNNNNNNNNNNNNNNNNNNNNNNNNNNNNNNNNNNNNNNNNNNNNNNNNNNNNNNNNNNNNNNNNNNNNNNNNNNNNNNNNNNNNNNNNNNNNNNNNNNNNNNNNNNNNNNNNNNNNNNNNNNNNNNNNNNNNNNNNNNNNNNNNNNNNNNNNNNNNNNNNNNNNNNNNNNNNNNNNNNNNNNNNNNNNNNNNNNNNNNNNNNNNNNNNNNNNNNNNNNNNNNNNNNNNNNNNNNNNNNNNNNNNNNNNNNNNNNNNNNNNNNNNNNNNNNNNNNNNNNNNNNNNNNNNNNNNNNNNNNNNNNNNNNNNNNNNNNNNNNNNNNNNNNNNNNNNNNNNNNNNNNNNNNNNNNNNNNNNNNNNNNNNNNNNNNNNNNNNNNNNNNNNNNNNNNNNNNNNNNNNNNNNNNNNNNNNNNNNNNNNNNNNNNNNNNNNNNNNNNNNNNNNNNNNNNNNNNNNNNNNNNNNNNNNNNNNNNNNNNNNNNNNNNNNNNNNNNNNNNNNNNNNNNNNNNNNNNNNNNNNNNNNNNNNNNNNNNNNNNNNNNNNNNNNNNNNNNNNNNNNNNNNNNNNNNNNNNNNNNNNNNNNNNNNNNNNNNNNNNNNNNNNNNNNNNNNNNNNNNNNNNNNNNNNNNNNNNNNNNNNNNNNNNNNNNNNNNNNNNNNNNNNNNNNNNNNNNNNNNNNNNNNNNNNNNNNNNNNNNNNNNNNNNNNNNNNNNNNNNNNNNNNNNNNNNNNNNNNNNNNNNNNNNNNNNNNNNNNNNNNNNNNNNNNNNNNNNNNNNNNNNNNNNNNNNNNNNNNNNNNNNNNNNNNNNNNNNNNNNNNNNNNNNNNNNNNNNNNNNNNNNNNNNNNNNNNNNNNNNNNNNNNNNNNNNNNNNNNNNNNNNNNNNNNNNNNNNNNNNNNNNNNNNNNNNNNNNNNNNNNNNNNNNNNNNNNNNNNNNNNNNNNNNNNNNNNNNNNNNNNNNNAUGAAAAAGAAGAAUGAUUUAUGAACUCUCAGAUAGCUAUGCUCACCUCUAGAAAUAGAGGUCAGUCGACCCCCUGGAGCUAGCAUCCAACGAAUAUGGCCCUCUGCCAACGGGUUAAAGUUGGUAACGAAUAAGAAUAAGUUAUAAAACUCGUCGACUACGAAUAUGAGCCGUCAUGGGAUUAUAGUGACCAUAGCAGCACAUCCGUCUGAGAGUAAAAUUUAUAAAGUACUGAUGAAUGGAAGCAUUUUUAUAUGACUUGCAUUAUCGUGUUUAUGAACUUGCAUGGUUGGAGCAUAUUUUGCUUUAUAACUUGUUUUGAAUAAAUUAUCUAUGAAAUGCUUUAUUUUGCUGUUAAAUUCUUCAAAUGAUGCAUUGGCAUGAAAAAAAAAAAUUAUGCUUGAUCUAAUAAGAUAGUACAUGGUUACUUACUGAGCCGCAAGCUCAUACCCCUCCUGUUGUUUUCUUUUAUUUAUUUCAGAUAAUUAAGGCGAUUAGGAGCAAAUGAAAAUUGGAGUUGAAGCAUAGUUACAGGGACUCUUAGAAGUAUCUAUGUUAAUAAGUUUGGGUUGUAAUAUUGCAAACUCAAUUAUUUGAUUUAGAUGCUCUGUACUUGCUUCUUUAUGAUUAGUCAAUAAAUUUGAUCGGAUUUGGUUUUAUUUCAUGAAAUAAAAUUGUUAUCAUGGGCUUCGUGUUAUUGUGGGCCGCAUCCUACAAUAGCACGGCCAUGUCAUGAACCGGAUCUGGGGCGCAAAAAAUCAUGUCCGUGACAUUGUGAGGCCCAAGCCGAAGGAGAGGCUAGAAUCCUCGGCUGCACCUUCUCGAGCGUAACGGGGCGGGAUCCACGGCGGCCAUAUGAAUGGCCGAUGAACCCGCGCAACCGCUGCUGAAAUCGCGGCGAUGAAUGAGCAGAGCCGUUUGAAAUUUUCUCUGUAAAAUCCCCCCAUUGACCCGCAUCUGAGAUCCACCAAGCACUUCUCCUUCACCCUAUUCUGCCUCUAACGCCUUUCCCUCCUCCGCUGCUAGGGUUUGGAGCUCGCAUCAGUGCCACAGGAGAGAGUAGCCGCAGCUUCUCUUCGUAGCAAGGUAAACCCUAACCCUGUGUCCUUUCUACCUUAUCAUAAUGAGAUAAAAGGAAAGAAGAAGAGGAGAAAAAGGCAUACGUGUGGUCGUCAGCGUUGUCGGCUCUCGGCCACAGGUACCGUCUGGCUUCAGCCGCAUGUAUCCCUAGUCCUCGGCCGCAGCCACCGCCAGCCGUUGGCGGAGGCUGCAGUCAAAAGAAGAAGAAGAAGAGGGGAAGCUUCGGGAAGGAAGAAAAAGGGAGGAGAAAAAAAGAAGAAAAGAAAGAAAAGGAAAAAUAAUAAUAAUAAUAAUAAAUAUAUAACUAAAUAAAUAGAGAAUUAAGAUAAUAGAUGUAUUUAAAUGAAUUGAAAUAACAAUAAAUAAAUUAAAUAAAAUAGAAAAUGAUGAAUGAGUGGUAAAUAAUCUGUCCUCUAUGAUGAUGAUAGGUACAAUGAAAUUGUCAUCUGGUUCUAGGGAUUCGUGAGCGAAUCAAGGUAAGUAACCCUGGCACUAAUCUUAUCACUGUUUAAUUGUAAGAAUAAAAUAAUGAAAAAUAUAUUUGGUAUGAUGUAUUUUCUUAAAAGUAGGAUCAAGCAUAUGAUUGCAUGUGAUUCAUGAGUUUGACUAAAAUGCAUCCUUCAUGAAUAUUUGAGUAUAAAUUAUGGUUAUGAUAAAUUCUAUGAAAAUGAGAUUUGUGGCAUGAUCAUGAAUUUUAUACAUUACGAUGAAUUAUGGUUAUGAUAAAUUGAAUGAAAUGAGAUUUGUGGCAUGAUCAUGAAUUUUAUACAUUACGAUGAAUUAUGGUUAUGAUAAAUUGCAUGAAAAUGAGAUUUGUGGCAUAAUCAUGAAUUUAAUACAUUACGAUGCCAUUUGUCAUUUUUCAACCUAUGUAUGAAAGUAUGAUUUAAAGAAGAAUGAUUUAUGAACUCUCAGAUAGCUAUGCCCACCUCUAGAAAUAGAGGUCAGUCGACCCCCUAGAGCUAGCAUCCAACGAAUAUGGCCCUCUGCCAACGGGUUAAAGUUGGUAACGAAUAAGAAUAAGUUAUAAAACUCGUCGACUACUAAUACGAGCCCUGUCACGGGAUUAUAGUGACCAUAGUAGCACAUCCGUCUGAGAGUAAGAUUUAUAGAGCAUUGAUGAAUGGCAGCAUUUUUAUAUGACUUGCAUUAUCGUGUUUAUGAACUUGCACGGUUGGAGCAUAUUUUGCUUUAUAACUUGUUUUGAAUAAAUUAUCUAUGAAAUGCUUUAUUUUGCUGUUAAAUUCUUCAAAUGAUGCAUUGGCAUGAAAAAAAAAAAUUAUGCUUGAUCUAAUAAGAUAGUACAUGGUUACUUACUGAGCCGCAAGCUCAUACCCCUCCUGUUGUUUUCUUUUAUUUAUUUCAGAUAAUUAAGGCGAUUAGGAGCAAAUGAAAAUUGGAGUUGAAGCAUAGUUACAGGGACUCUUAGAAGUAUCUAUGUUAAUAAUGUUGGGUUGUAAUAUUGCAAACUCAAGUAUUCAAUUUAGAUGCUUUGUACUUGCUUCUUUAUGAUUAGUCAAUAAAUUUGAUCCGAUUUAGUUUUAUUUCAUGAAAUAAAAUUGUUAUCAUGGGCUUCGUGUUAUUGUGGGCCGCAUCCUACAAUAGCACGGCCAUGUCAUGAACCGGAUCUGGGGCGCGAAAAAUCAUGUACGGAUUCGUGGCGUGACAUUGAGUGGUAUCGGAGCCGAGGACGGCUCUUGUCCGAUAGUGGGAAGGGUGUGAGGCCCAAUAGUCCAACAUCGGAAAGACUCAUUCCAGAGCCUGGGCAUAUGAGGUGGGCGUCUCCAAAUCCUGCAGACGCGUUUUGGGUGGAAAACAAAACCGGGGAGGGGUGAAGAACGCUUGCGUGAAGCUCCGAAACCGGACAAUAUCUGACAGGGGAGCUCCGUGUUUCCCCCCUCAUGUGGCUCCCAUGUGGGCACUAGGUGCCUCACGUGCUCCGCGGAGGCGGGGGCCUGACAAAUUCAAUUUGGACCAAUUAGACAAAAAAUGUAGCAGAACAGCCGACCUUAUUCUGACAAUCCACAAAGCUAUUUGAAAGAAGCAAUAUAUAAUUAUAAAUAAUUGAAAUACAUAAUUUACUAGCAAAAGGGAACUAACUAUUAAAAUAGAAAAUAAAUCUUAGGGACUUCUAUCUAUAUCCUCAAGAAAGCAUCUUGAAAUAACAAUAAGUUGCCUGACCCAUGAAAAGGCGUGAUCAAACUAUGAUUAAGGUCUGUCGUAUCGCCCCGUACCAUAUCAUACCGGAAAAAACUGAUACAAAACACAUCUUCCAGCCAGUACAAGCCCCGCACCGAGGCAUACCAACAGAUAUCGAGGUGCGUACCGCCCCGCACCGAGGCAGAUCGACCAGUACCGAGGUGCGUACCGGUCCGUACCAAGCAUACCGAGAUGAAAAUAGAGAAAAUAGAUAAGAGAAAUAUUUCGGCAUAGAAGUAUACCAUACCAAACCAAUAAAAUACCGAUACGAUACCCGAUACCGAGAUUGUGAACCUUGACUAUGAUAAUCAUUAAUAUAUCUGAUAAAGUAUGCAAAAUGACAUGCUUGUAAGUGUUCGAGGUCUAAAAGCUUCAGAGUUUAUAAAUAGUAAGAGAGGCAACUAUAAGGAGCACUGAAUGUCGAAAAACCCCAUUGCUUUUAGAGUCCUUGUAAUCAUGGUCUAUUGUGCCGGUAUUGGGCACCGGACCGGUUGGCAUGGGGAAGUACAAGACCGCGUCGUGCCAUGUCGGGCAUGUAUCAACACAGUAGAGGAGGCGGGGGAGAGGGCGAACGAGAGAGAAGAAAAGAGAGAGGAGGAGAGAGGGAGGGAGGCCGGCGGAGGCCGGCACUCGAGCAGCAGGCGGAGGCUGUGGCCGUUCUCCUGUUUCGUUCAAAACAGGGGUUCCGCCGCUAAAAAAUUUUGAAAUUUUUAAGUGAUGUUGGCAAGCCUCCGCCACCCUCCACCAACCUCCCUCCCUCUUCUUCUCCCUCCCUCCCCCGCUCGCUCUCUCUUUUCCUCUCUUUCCUUCUCCUUCUCUCCCUCCAACAACGAGUUUCAUUUUCAUUGCCGGAGCCAUACCGGUCUACAGUCGGAAUAGCUCGAUACAACUGAAACCGCCCGAUUCGGAAAGGUUCCGCCGACCCUGCUUGUAAUGCUUGUCAAAAAAUAAUAUAAUGAUCAAAUAUUACCAAUAGAAUUUACUUUUCAAAGCUACAUUGUUUACAUUCAAAUUCUUUAGUUUAAGGAUCAUUGAUGGGAUCGAUACCUCACCAAACAUUUAAUGUGAUAGAGAAAGGAGGAGAAUUCACCUUCUAUCACUUAAAGGAUUGCAAACUCUAUGCAAUUAUUAUGUAUGAAGCUUUAUUGGUCUGUACCAUGUUAAAAAGCACGAGUUAGAGCCUUCGUUUCUAUCAUUUCUGCCCUUGGUGGAAUAUGAAAUAUUUCUAUAUUAAAGCUUUACUAUUUUCUUGUUAAGAACAUGGGUAAAUUGGCAAAACACCUGGCCACAAGAUUAUGCAUGAUCUAGUUCACCCGAUCACGACUCCUCUGCCAUUCAGCCCAUGACUCCUCGGCCAUGCACGGAGAAAACAGAUUCGACUAGAUCCCACGUGAUCCCCCUGCACCACACUUUUCCUUCUCACUCUCCAUGCACACCCUGAUCCUGCCUAGCACAAAUACACACACUCUCUCUCUCACGCACAUGCAUAUAUGCACGCACAAACUCCCACUCCCCUAUGUAAUUGUUCAGUCAGAUUGUUCAAUCACAAAAUGGUAGGUCUUUUUUAUUUUCAACUAAACAAGCACUAAACAUGCAGGAUCAUAUAAGCGCACGCCUAUACAUUCAUAGAGAGCUACAGACAACAUGAAGGCCAUUACAUAUGCAUAAAGAUAAAUAUAUCCACAUAAAGAUCGCACGCAUUGAAAUUAUGAAAACCAACUAAAUGUAGCAUCUAUGCAUUUGCAGAGUUACCAUCAUGUAAUUUCAUGGUUUUUAAUUCAGUUACUAAUUCUCAAUUUGCUUAUUGCAAAAAACCUAUCUCAUUGAGCAAAUCAGAUUUGCCCUGCUAGUGGGUUGACUGGGUGGCGCACGGAUUUGGAGAGGCUAACUCAAAUUAAUUCGAAUCUCGACACAUGAUCACCACUAGCAUUGCAUUUACAUUUCAUAUCUACACCCCAAGCCAAGUGAAUACAUGAUAAAACAUUUAGGUAAAUUAGUUUGUGAUAAGACAGGAAAAAGGACUUAUAUCAAAUACAUGAAAAGAUUUGCAAUAAAAGAUCCAUAUAAAUAAAAAGAUAUAUAAUUAUGGAAGUAAAGAAUGAAAAGAAAAUGAUUUGAUGAAUCAGGUGAGUUGGACUAGGGUAUGAUCUAUAAGAAAUUGUUUCAGAAAGCAUUUUUGGAAAUUUAAGUAAUAGGACUAUCUUAAUAUUACGAGGUUAUUGCUUGUCAAAUACCAAUUGUAUUUCUUAAUGAUCAAAAGAACAAUUCUACAGAGAAAGGGUGCCACAAAAUGAAACUACUCUUACACUGUUGCCUGUGCCUGAAUCUGAAAGUUUUAUCAGUAGAAAGCUAAUUAUGAUACUGCAAAACUGAAGUCACAGUUUAUAGUAUGACUGUGGUGAUGUCAAAAUUUCUGUCAACUUAUCUAUAUUGACCAAUUAAAAAUCCAAAAGAACAAUAUAGCAAAACUUGAACAAGAAUCUAAACAAUAAAUGUUGUUCAAGUGAUGCAUUAUUUCUAAUAACAUCAUCAUUGCAACAAGUACUGCAAAUACAAGUAUACCUUCUGAUGUUCACAAAAUGAAUCUCAUAUGAGUCUUGAUUAAAGAACAAGCUAGCUGUUUAACUCUAAAAAUAGAUUUCAAGGAUAAUGAAACAAUAAGGGUUUUCAAUAAUAUGUGCUUCAGUGUGUCAAAUGUUAAAACCGUUAUGCCGACAAUUUUGUCCAGUCAAACAAGGCCAUGACAGUUUUUAAUCGGAAUGGAUAAACAUGCCUCUUGGUCAACCAAAUCGUACUAAAAUAUAUUGAUGCUUUAAUAUUGAAAAGUAGAAGUUUUUGGCACUUCAUCCCAAUUUGAAACAUUGCUUCCUAGGCAUGAGUUUCCAAAAGUAACUCAGUUUUAAUAGGUGGAUGAACAAACAUGUUACAAAACAAUAAAGAAACCCUCCCCUAAAAUCAUAGAUGUGGUACAUGAAUGUGCAUGCAGCUUACCUGAAGAAGCAUGUGUAACAGGUAAAUGAAAUCAGUUACACUUCUUACAACUGCCAAUGCAGUUGCAAAGGGCCAGUUCAGGACUAUACACUUCUGCUCCUGCAUUUGAAGAGAAAAUAACUGAAGAUGAAUAUAAAUAUAAAUUUGGAAAACAAAUAAGGCAGAAAGAUGAAAUUCAUGUAGAGAUCGUAAGAGGUGGAGAACUAAACUACAUCAUAGAAGUCAUGCCAAAUAUAACUCCCAGAAUUAAUUCAACAGGGUUAUAUAGAAAGGAUCAGGGUCCACAGACUGUCAUGAUAAUCACAUUUACAAUGUGAAACAAAGAAUCUUAGAUUAAAAUAACUAAGAAAAACAUACUUCAAAUUUUUGUACAGAUAUGACUCUCAUUAGCAUUUGCUACAAGAAAGUACACUGACAGAAUGACAGAUUGGAGCAUCCUACAAAGGUAAGUAUCACUCUAUGAUGUCUUCUUAGUGAACUCAUAGAUAACCAAGAAAAAAAUCUACAACGUAUAUAAUGUUAUCUCAAGAGUUGGAUAUGACAUCAAGGAGAUAACACAACAUAUAAUACAUAAGUCAACAUCAAGUCCUCCAUAAUUUUCCGCAAUAAUUUUCUACAAUAUAUCAUCAAUCCUAGAAUAUCUCACUACAUGUCACACUCAAUCAAAUGCAUCGGCACAACAUAUAAUACAUAAUUUUCAUUUGCCCUGGCCAAUCAAAUGAAUUGACUUGGCCAAUCAAAUGUUUUCCUUAAUACAGCUAUCAUCAAGUAAAUGAAAAAUUCAUCGGUGGAAAAAGGUAAGUAAAAGCACAUCAAGAACAAGAAACAUUUUGCCAAAAAUAUGAAGGAAAACUACACUUCUCAAGAAAAAAAAGGACAUAGUUAAGGAAGCAUGAUGAGUGACAUUAAGACAGCCAACUACUAUUAUAACAAUAAAAACUUUACAAUCUAGAAAAUGGUGAUGAAACAAAUCAUUGAGAAAGAACACUGUUGCCUAGUUGACCACUCAGCCACAAAAUCCUGUGCAAUGUGGGCUUCAAAAUGAGCUCAAAUAAGUUUAUGACUAAUCAACAAUGAUUAGGAGUUCUUGAAGCUUGCAGAACUCAGAAGUAUAGCUUGACCAUUUUACAAACGGUAAAGGUGUUAGUCACUUUCAGCAACUCCUGAACAAGCGAGCGUAAGAAUUCUAAGUUCACAAAUAUCCAAAUUUCCCUUACAAUGUUGCAAGGGCAAAAUGACCAAAUACUCCAUAAGCUAUUUGAAAUACCAAAAGGCUAUCGUAAAUAUCCGAAUUGCCCUUACAAUGUUGCAAGGGCAAAAUGGCCAAAUACUCCUUAAGCUAUUUGAAAUAUCAAAAGGCUAUCAGCAUCAUACAUGUUUCAUCAAGACUCGUUCAAAAGAUUACAACAAUUAGGCAUAAUAGAAGCCUGGAAAUGAAAGCCGAAAAAUUGAUAACUUUUAUACUGCAUGCAAACUAAGGAAACAAUAAUGUACAAAGUGCAUGAUGGACCAACAUUCUUCCUCUCAUAAUGAACUUUCGUCCAAUUCCAAAAUCACUUCAGUAUUGAGGUUCCGUAUAACCGGUUUACCAAACUUGAUAAGGGAAAAAUUGCCAUGUCACACUUGCAGGCUUCACCUGAUGCAAUUGAAGGAGCUAAGACCGCUCCAACAUAAGGUAAACAUAAAUAGCUAGCCUUCCCCAAGAGAUUCACAUCAGUUCGACUUAGCACCAAAUUGAUAUAUAGCAAAUCAAAGGUCAUAACACCAAUUUAUUCCACAUGUCCAAGAUUCCUCCCUUCACAUGCUAUAUGCAAGGACAAUGGCU
rnacentral:lncRNA from 1 species